rnacentral:lncRNA from 1 species
AUAAUAAUAAUAAUCAUGUUUCCAUAAAAUUGCUAAGUCCAGAGAUAAUACAUAAACAUAGUAGACUGUUCAUGACACAUAUCACGGUGGACAGUGUUUGUGUCCUUAUUACAAGCAACGAGAGAUGCUCGUCACCAACACGCGCGCGCACAGAUGCACGACAUACAUAUAGUAGAGACCAACAGAUGGUCGUCCCAUAUGGUGAACAAUUUAUUGGGGAUAAAUAUUAACGUAACUUGGCCAUAGCUUGAAGCAUAGCAACAUAUGCCUAUGAGUGGCAUUCAUGCUAUCGUUUUAGGCUUGUCCAGCUCCUUCCAUCUUAGCAAGCACUUCCAUUUCUACCAUCUUAGCAGCAACUGUCAAAUUGAGAUACGGAAAUCCCAUUAGCGCAUGAGUUAAUUUUGCAGUGGAAAUAGAGUACAAGAUGUCUUCAUGAUGUAAGUAAUAUGCCUGAAGUUGUGAGAUGGGAAGUGAAGUCAACAAAUUACAUUAACGGAAAUGCAUGGAAGGCCACACAUACGUAUUAGUCCAUGAUAUGCUACAAAGCUUGUAUGUACAUAUAGCAAAUUAAAUGCAUUAAUUGAAUAGAGUGUGUUUAGUGAAUUUACCAGAAUCGUCCAGAAAACAUGGGAAACAGCAAGUGUUCUUGCAGACUGCGUCGGAGGCACCCGCACGAAUACAAAGCUGACAACAUAGUUUUGCCUGGGCGGAUGCGCAGCAGCCGCACUCCGCCGCGGUGGGGUUAACAUUGAGGCUCAAGAUGACCAGGCACAUGAUCACCAUCAAAGUGGUAGUCCUCUUUCCCUCCAUUGCCUCCUCUUAGCUUGCUGCUACCUUCCUUGGUUACCUAGCUAAGUUUAUUGGUUUUGUGUUGAGAGGUGUGAUUUUUGAAUGGACGUUGCCGGCGGCAAUUUAUAGGCAGCUGAGCUAUGUGAUGAUAUGGACUAGGUGCAAAUGGGUGGUUAAUGGCAAGGAAAGGGGCGUCAGACAAAGCCCAAUGGCAACUGCUGACAUGCGAUUAAAUUCAGAUCCACAUCCGGCCAUUCAAUAAUACGGUUGGAGUUGUGGCACAGAUAUAUUAUUGCAUGAUCAUCAAGAUAAGAUCGUACAGUGACUGAGUGAGACAAUAAAUAGCCAAGUAAACUAUUUUAUCCUGCUGCAAGCUGCAUUCAUAAGUUUAUUUCACCUUUGAUCACAAUACUCUUCACACACGUACGUCUCAGGGAGAUCUCACUUCCGCUGGACUGCUCACUUCCGCUGUCGUCGGUACUGCCAAAGACAUAAGCUCACAUCUGCUAUUGCGGAGCAGGCCAAUUUGCUGCGGAACUUCGGCGACGACCUGAAGGACAUGAACUCGGUGCUGGAGUCCAUCUCAGCAGCGCUCUAGGACGCUGACACCGGUAGAAAAACGACCUUCCAUCGUCAACAAAAAUCCCGGUAGCUUUUUUACUCGGUACUAAAGAGGUUUUAAUCUCGUGCAAACACCUUUAGUCCAGAUUGCUAUUACCACGCAACCCGGACUAAAGCGUCCCCCGCGAGUUAGUAUAUAAGGAUUGCAUCCUUUACUCAGUCAGAUAUAAUAUGUAGGUGAGAUGGUAAGGAAGCUAUGCGUGAGGCUUCAGGUUGUGGGUUCGAAUCCAAGUGGGUGCAGCUGUGGCUUAAGCGGCUGAGGCACGCCGCCAUAGACAUCUCAGAUUUGCUCGAAGACUACCAAGACACUAGUGAACCCUUAACAGUAAAGGUGAGUACUUAUGAAUGUCAGCAUCCAUGUUGUCCAUGCUUCCAAUGUAAUAACAAGAUGGACUACUCUUCCUAGCGGACUCUUCACAACCACUCGUAAAGCUAUGCGUUUCUCAAUGCAAUUUCGUAGAAGCCAAUCGAUCCAACCAAGUGACUAAAUCAUUCGUCCUUUCCAAUGAUGUGCAUCAGGUUUUCUAUAUGAAGGGCAUGUCUAGCAAACCUAAGAUUUCAGAAGAAAAAGAAAAAUCAUUGGAGCCAAAGAGCCACAUAGUUCUUCUAGGAAAAAAAUCAUGGGAGUCGAGAACAUAUCAAACCAAUCAGGGGAUUAUGGUCAGCUUAAUGGCAUGCCUCCAUUCGAUGUCGAAGUUCACCCAAGCAUCAUGUUAGCCAAACAUCAAAUGUUCGUGCGUUGUUACGGUAAAGAUCAAUUGUGUUUUUUAAACUCUUGGAAUUUUUUUAUCUAAGUUUUUAUUUACACUUAUUGGAUGUCUACACAUUUGCUAGAAAACUAAAAUAAUUUGGACUUAAUUAUUUCUUUCAACUGAAGUACUCACUAAAUUUCUACCUUUUUAUUUAAGCAAGAGAGUUGCUAAAAAAAAUGGAUACGUAACCAUGUUGUAUCAUACAAAGUAACCACGUUUCACAUAUAGUCCGGCUUAGCAAACACCAUUGUUUUCUGAACAUAGCGUACAUGAGUUAACAGACAUGGAUUUAUUUCUAUUGCAAGUAGCAUAGCGUACAACCUGCCUGCACCGAUGCAGCUCAAUAUGCGAUAAUUUUUAUCUUCCCAUGUAAUUUUUCUACUCUAGUACAUAUUGAACUCCACAUUAAUGUCAUGUUCUUUCGCGCCCCAGAAGGUUCCUAAAGUUUGGAAACUUAAUAGAUAGCCAGAAUUUUUUUUAAAGAUAUUUAUAUGGAUACUUGUAUGUUCUUUCCAAACUAACAAUAUUGUUUACCAAUAUCAGAAGGAAUAUGGUUAGGAGCCAUUGCCGCAUAUGGCAGGUGAUGGUAGAUGGCGUAUGGGGUUUCGUUAAUUUAAUGGUAUAAUAAGCUGAAAUACAUUUUCUAUUUGCAAAUGAAUCAUAGCUGAAAUUGGUGGGAUUGUUUUUUCGCCGGUUUAGCAUCCUGUGCACCAGUUCAACCGGAGGGAAGCUGUUUUUUUUCUUUGGUUUUCCACCGGUUCACCGAGACCGAUGACAAUUUUAUGGCAGAAUCAUUACUUGUUUUACUAUUAGGUGAAGAUUUUAGCGUUUAGGUAUCUCACAUUAAACGCAACUUCAACAAUCUAUUUCUAGUGUAUAAUGUAGGAGACCCCGUAAAGAGUCUACACACACAUAUAUGUUGACUAUGAAUGUAAGUUUGUUGGUUUUAUGUAUGUUCGUUUGGAGUUUAUAUAAAUUUUACAUUUUAUAGUUUUGUGUAUAUGACGAAGAUCCAUGACUUGCAUUAAUUUAGCCUUUCUUCCAACAACUCUUAUGCAUGCUGUUUCUAGGCGAGCGUACUGGUUGCAAUUUUGGUCCCCGAUAUAGUGUGAGGACUUAAGGGACACGUGCAGGUCGUAACCUUAGAUAUUUUUGCUGAGAAUGGAUGAAGAAGCAAUAAUAUACUUUGCUUCUGAUUUUCUCCAUGUCAUUUGCUUACUCUUAUCCCUUUUAUUUAUCAUUAUAAGAUGAAAAUAUUGUAAAAACUUGGCUACGUGCGGUCGCAGAAGCUAGAGACUAAAGCGUCCCCCACGAGUUACUAUAUAAAAGGAUUGCAUCCUCUACUCAGUCAUAUGUACUGUGUAGGUGAGAUGGUAAGGAAGCUAUGUGUGAGGCUUGAGGUUGUAGGUUCGAAUCCCACGCACCGCGUGCGCAUGCGCAUAUUUUGCGUGAAAAAUCGCAUGACUUGUGGUCGGCCAAGGAGAAGUGCGUGCGGCUGAGGCACGCCGCCAUAGACAUCUCGGAUUUGCUCCAAGACUACCAAGACACUAGCGAACCCUUAACGGCAAAGUUGAGUACUUACGCGUGUUAGCAUCUAUGUUGUCCAUGCUUCCAAUGCAAUAACAAGAAGGGCUACUCAUCCUAGCGGAUUCUUCACAACCACUCGUAAAGCUAUGCGUUUCUCAAUGCAAUUUCGUAGAUGUCAAUCGAUCCAACCAAGCGACUGAAUCAUUCGUCCUUGCUAAUGAUGUGCAUCAGGUUUUCUAUAUGAAGAACAUGUCUAGCAAAUCCAAGAUUUCAGAAGAAAAAUAAAAAUCAUGAGAACCAAAGCACCACGUAGUUCUUCCAGGUAAAAAAAACAAUCAUCCACUGGGAUGACACACAGUAGCGAUCCAAAACGUCCAUAUUAAGACUUUUUGAUAGCAGAAAAAACAUGAAAAUGUCUAAUAUUUGUAGUAUUAAAAGGAAAAAUAAUAUAUUCACUUGACCUUUUUUUCGUAGCAACGCACCGGUGCGUAGUCAGACUUAGGCCACGUUUGGAUACUCCCUACUAAAGUUUAGCACCUGUCACAUAGGAUGUUUGGAUACUAAUUAGGAGUAUUAAACAUAGGCUAAUUAUAAAACUAAUUGAAUAGAUGGAGUCUAAUUUGCGAGACGAAUCUAUUAAGCCUAACUAGUCCAUGAUUUGACAAUGUGGUGCUACAGUAACCAUUUGCUAAUGGUGGAUUAAUUAGGCUUAAUAGAUUCGUCUCGCGAAUUAACAUAGGGUUCUGCAAUUAAUUUUAUAAUUAGCUCAUGUCUAGUCCUUCUAAUUAGCAUCCGAACAUCUGAUAUGAUACUGCUAAAGUUUAUCACCUAGUAUCCAAAUACCCCCUUAAUGCACGAUGCCUGUGCAUCCACUGGGCCUACCCUCGUGGAUCACGCGCUCGUGGAUCACGCGCACCAUGACAUGGCUCAUUAGCUAGUCGUGCUAAUCCUUACCACCAAAUUAAAAACUAGCAUGUGUUGUGUGUUUGUGACCCUAAACGACUACCACCUUCCCGAGUCCACCGGAGUUGCCAGUUCACCACUAAGCUGACUCUCCGAGCUUCAUGUCACUGUCACCGCUCCAAAGACCUAGAUCGGUUCGCUGUGCACCCCGCUUCGUCCUGAGCUAAAUCCCAUCACGAAAGGUGACCGGAUGCUCGUUUUCGAGCGAAUUCUAGCGAGAUUGCCACCACCUUUCCCCUUCCAGCCGAUCGCAGCUGUCUGAUCACAAACCGACAGCCCAGAUCGGAUUUGACCAGGUCAAUACCGGUCAAGCCGAGAUGCAUGCUGCUUUUGCAAGAAGGCCCCUAUUUUUCUCUCGUUUUGCACUUGAGGUCCUACGCAGUUCAAAAGUAAUUAGAUCUAGAUCCUUUUUCUUCUGUUUUAGCCCUGUUCUUUUAUAAAAUCCCACCCGCCAUCCUGUUUGGUAUUUUGACAUGUUAGACCUUCUAUUUAUAUGUUUAAUUAGGUUUUAGCCCUUGGUUUCUUUAAGUUUAGCUCUUGGAAGUUUAGUUUUCUCGCAGUUAAGCCCCUGAACCUUGUUUAGUUCAUAUCUUUAGCGUUUUAAAUCCGUUUUAAGAGAUUCUUACGCCCAUAAGUUCGUGUUGAUGCAUAGAUUAGUUGACUUAUACGGACCUUGCUGAUUCAGCUCCUUCAUUGUGCUUCAGAUCUCGCUAGUGAAGAAUAAUGGAUGGGCUUUGGUUGAGCUUGUAGAUCGACCUGCAGUUGCAGUGAAUGUGCUGAGGACUGGCGGUACCAAUAAUGGGAGGCCGCUGCUCUGCUUGCUACCAAGGCCUGCGACGCUUGGACGCCAUUCAGAGUGCAUAAUUUCCAAGGAUCUCAAGGGCUCCACACCACGUUCCAAGUGUUUUUUCUUUGCCGAGUGUUUUUAGCUCGGCACUUGGCAAAGAGCUUGUUUGCCGAGUGUCCGAAAAAAACACUUGGCAAAGAGAAAACACUCGGCAAAUUUGAUGUUUCCCGUAGUGAUGUACUAUUCAAACUUGAACUGGGAUGCAGGCUUCAGUACCAAAGAGAGCUCUGGGCGCGGGUGAGCAGUGAGCUGGCCGGGCAGGGAGCUCCAAAGCGACAGCAACAAAGAGAGAAAUGCUAAGAGUAAGAACGACACACGAGGUCACUUCACAUAGAUAAUAGCAGUACGAACCAUACAAUAUCCUCUCUCAGUUUCACUCCGCCUCACACACGGCUAGCACACCAUGCAUGCCGAUUUCAUAUUAUUAAUAUUAUUUUUUGGAUGGUUGUUGAAACUAUAUAUAUAGUUAGUCCAAUCUCACGUUUCCGAUUAUAAAAAUCAACGUAAAGAGAUCGGUAGGGAGAGCCGGCAUAAUGAAGCCGACGCGUGUAAUAAGCACCAGAGCCGGCAUUUAUACAAACUGGUACGAAUAGUAAAAAACUAGAAUUUAUAAAUAAAAAAAUGAUUUGCACAUCUAUGCAAUAAUUAGGGGUUAGUGGCAGGUCUAGAGAGAUAUCUCAUCAUUAUAUCCGGUUUAACGAGGAUAAAAAAGAGUGUAUUUUCCACUCAUCAUGUUGUCUUUUCGCAGCGGUACCACUUUUCGUGUGUUGUAUCGGUCCCCUAAUACGGAGUCUCCGAGGCCCGAGAAAAUAAGGAAAGUGAUAGUAGCCCAGAAAUCGGCCAAGUUUCUUUCCCCUUUGGCUUUCCUACUAGGAUUCAGAAUCCUCUUUCGCAUGACAAUCUUAAUUAUCUCCCAUACUCCAAAACUCACAAAAACAUCAAGAGUCCGCUGAGAAUAAAUUUAAGUAAAAAACAUGCACACACAGAUAAUAAUAAUAAUCAUGUUUCCAUAAAAUUGCUAAGUCCAGAGAUAAUACAUAAACAUAGUAGACUGUUCAUGACACAUAUCACGGUGGACAGUGUUUGUGUCCUUAUUACAAGCAACGAGAGAUGCUCGUCACCAACACGCGCGCGCACAGAUGCACGACAUACAUAUAGUAGAGACCAACAGAUGGUCGUCCCAUAUGGUGAACAAUUUAUUGGAGAUAAAUAUUAACGUAACUUGGCCAUAGCUUGAAGCAUAGCAACAUAUGCCUAUGAGUGGCAUUCAUGCUAUCGUUUUAGGCUUGUCCAGCUCCUUCCAUCUUAGCAAGCACUUCCAUUUCUACCAUCUUAGCAGCAACUGUCAAAUUGAGAUACGGAAAUCCCAUUAGCGCAUGAGUUAAUUUUGCAGUGGAAAUAGAGUACAAGAUGUCUUCAUGAUGUAAGUAAUAUGCCUGAAGUUGUGAGAUGGGAAGUGAAGUCAACAAAUUACAUUAACGGAAAUGCAUGGAAGGCCACACAUACGUAUUAGUCCAUGAUAUGCUACAAAGCUUGUAUGUACAUAUAGCAAAUUAAAUGCAUUAAUUGAAUAGAGUGUGUUUAGUGAAUUUACCAGAAUCGUCCAGAAAACAUGGGAAACAGCAAGUGUUCUUGCAGACUGCGUCGGAGGCACCCGCACGAAUACAAAGCUGACAACAUAGUUUUGCCUGGGCGGAUGCGCAGCAGCCGCACUCCGCCGCGGUGGGGUUAACAUUGAGGCUCAAGAUGACCAGGCACAUGAUCACCAUCAAAGUGGUAGUCCUCUUUCCCUCCAUUGCCUCCUCUUAGCUUGCUGCUACCUUCCUUGGUUACCUAGCUAAGUUUAUUGGUUUUGUGUUGAGAGGUGUGAUUCUUGAAUGGACGUUGCCGGCGGCAAUUUAUAGGCAGCUGAGCUAUGUGAUGAUAUGGACUAGGUGCAAAUGGGUGGUUAAUGGCAAGGAAAGGGGCGUCAGACAAAGCCCAAUGGCAACUGCUGACAUGCGAUUAAAUUCAGAUCCACAUCCGGCCAUUCAAUAAUACGGUUGGAGUUGUGGCACAGAUAUAUUAUUGCAUGAUCAUCAAGAUAAGAUCGUACAGUGACUGAGUGAGACAAUAAAUAGCCAAGUAAACUAUUUUAUCCUGCUGCAAGCUGCAUUCAUAAGUUUAUUUCACCUUUGAUCACAAUACUCUUCACACACGUACGUCUCAGGGAGAUCUCACUUCCGCUGGACUGCUCACUUCCGCUGUCGUCGGUACUGCCAAAGACAUAAGCUCACAUCUGCUAUUGCGGAGCAGGCCAAUUUGCUGCGGAACUUCGGCGACGACCUGAAGGACAUGAACUCGGUGCUGGAGUCCAUCUCAGCAGCGCUCUAGGACGCUGACACCGGUAGAAAAACGACCUUCCAUCGUCAACAAAAAUCCCGGUAGCUUUUUUACUCGGUACUAAAGAGGUUUUAAUCUCGUGCAAACACCUUUAGUCCAGAUUGCUAUUACCACGCAACCCGGACUAAAGCGUCCCCCGCGAGUUAGUAUAUAAGGAUUGCAUCCUUUACUCAGUCAGAUAUAAUAUGUAGGUGAGAUGGUAAGGAAGCUAUGCGUGAGGCUUCAGGUUGUGGGUUCGAAUCCAAGUGGGUGCAGCUGUGGCUUAAGCGGCUGAGGCACGCCGCCAUAGACAUCUCAGAUUUGCUCGAAGACUACCAAGACACUAGUGAACCCUUAACAGUAAAGGUGAGUACUUAUGAAUGUCAGCAUCCAUGUUGUCCAUGCUUCCAAUGUAAUAACAAGAUGGACUACUCUUCCUAGCGGACUCUUCACAACCACUCGUAAAGCUAUGCGUUUCUCAAUGCAAUUUCGUAGAAGCCAAUCGAUCCAACCAAGUGACUAAAUCAUUCGUCCUUUCCAAUGAUGUGCAUCAGGUUUUCUAUAUGAAGGGCAUGUCUAGCAAACCUAAGAUUUCAGAAGAAAAAGAAAAAUCAUUGGAGCCAAAGAGCCACAUAGUUCUUCUAGGAAAAAAAUCAUGGGAGUCGAGAACAUAUCAAACCAAUCAGGGGAUUAUGGUCAGCUUAAUGGCAUGCCUCCAUUCGAUGUCGAAGUUCACCCAAGCAUCAUGUUAGCCAAACAUCAAAUGUUCGUGCGUUGUUACGGUAAAGAUCAAUUGUGUUUUUUAAACUCUUGGAAUUUUUUUAUCUAAGUUUUUAUUUACACUUAUUGGAUGUCUACACAUUUGCUAGAAAACUAAAAUAAUUUGGACUUAAUUAUUUCUUUCAACUGAAGUACUCACUAAAUUUCUACCUUUUUAUUUAAGCAAGAGAGUUGCUAAAAAAAAUGGAUACGUAACCAUGUUGUAUCAUACAAAGUAACCACGUUUCACAUAUAGUCCGGCUUAGCAAACACCAUUGUUUUCUGAACAUAGCGUACAUGAGUUAACAGACAUGGAUUUAUUUCUAUUGCAAGUAGCAUAGCGUACAACCUGCCUGCACCGAUGCAGCUCAAUAUGCGAUAAUUUUUAUCUUCCCAUGUAAUUUUUCUACUCUAGUACAUAUUGAACUCCACAUUAAUGUCAUGUUCUUUCGCGCCCCAGAAGGUUCCUAAAGUUUGGAAACUUAAUAGAUAGCCAGAAUUUUUUUUAAAGAUAUUUAUAUGGAUACUUGUAUGUUCUUUCCAAACUAACAAUAUUGUUUACCAAUAUCAGAAGGAAUAUGGUUAGGAGCCAUUGCCGCAUAUGGCAGGUGAUGGUAGAUGGCGUAUGGGGUUUCGUUAAUUUAAUGGUAUAAUAAGCUGAAAUACAUUUUCUAUUUGCAAAUGAAUCAUAGCUGAAAUUGGUGGGAUUGUUUUUUCGCCGGUUUAGCAUCCUGUGCACCAGUUCAACCGGAGGGAAGCUGUUUUUUUUCUUUGGUUUUCCACCGGUUCACCGAGACCGAUGACAAUUUUAUGGCAGAAUCAUUACUUGUUUUACUAUUAGGUGAAGAUUUUAGCGUUUAGGUAUCUCACAUUAAACGCAACUUCAACAAUCUAUUUCUAGUGUAUAAUGUAGGAGACCCCGUAAAGAGUCUACACACACAUAUAUGUUGACUAUGAAUGUAAGUUUGUUGGUUUUAUGUAUGUUCGUUUGGAGUUUAUAUAAAUUUUACAUUUUAUAGUUUUGUGUAUAUGACGAAGAUCCAUGACUUGCAUUAAUUUAGCCUUUCUUCCAACAACUCUUAUGCAUGAUGUUUCUAGGCGAGCGUACUGGUUGCAAUUUUGGUCCCCGAUAUAGUGUGAGGACUUAAGGGACACGUGCAGGUCGUAACCUUAGAUAUUUUUGCUGAGAAUGGAUGAAGAAGCAAUAAUAUACUUUGCUUCUGAUUUUCUCCAUGUCAUUUGCUUACUCUUAUCCCUUUUAUUUAUCAUUAUAAGAUGAAAAUAUUGUAAAAACUUGGCUACGUGCGGUCGCAGAAGCUAGAGACUAAAGCGUCCCCCACGAGUUACUAUAUAAAAGGAUUGCAUCCUCUACUCAGUCAUAUGUACUGUGUAGGUGAGAUGGUAAGGAAGCUAUGUGUGAGGCUUGAGGUUGUAGGUUCGAAUCCCACGCACCGCGUGCGCAUGCGCAUAUUUUGCGUGAAAAAUCGCAUGACUUGUGGUCGGCCAAGGAGAAGUGCGUGCGGCUGAGGCACGCCGCCAUAGACAUCUCGGAUUUGCUCCAAGACUACCAAGACACUAGCGAACCCUUAACGGCAAAGUUGAGUACUUACGCGUGUUAGCAUCUAUGUUGUCCAUGCUUCCAAUGCAAUAACAAGAAGGGCUACUCAUCCUAGCGGAUUCUUCACAACCACUCGUAAAGCUAUGCGUUUCUCAAUGCAAUUUCGUAGAUGUCAAUCGAUCCAACCAAGCGACUGAAUCAUUCGUCCUUGCUAAUGAUGUGCAUCAGGUUUUCUAUAUGAAGAACAUGUCUAGCAAAUCCAAGAUUUCAGAAGAAAAAUAAAAAUCAUGAGAACCAAAGCACCACGUAGUUCUUCCAGGUAAAAAAAACAAUCAUCCACUGGGAUGACACACAGUAGCGAUCCAAAACGUCCAUAUUAAGACUUUUUGAUAGCAGAAAAAACAUGAAAAUGUCUAAUAUUUGUAGUAUUAAAAGGAAAAAUAAUAUAUUCACUUGACCUUUUUUUCGUAGCAACGCACCGGUGCGUAGUCAGACUUAGGCCACGUUUGGAUACUCCCUACUAAAGUUUAGCACCUGUCACAUAGGAUGUUUGGAUACUAAUUAGGAGUAUUAAACAUAGGCUAAUUAUAAAACUAAUUGAACAGAUGGAGUCUAAUUUGCGAGACGAAUCUAUUAAGCCUAACUAGUCCAUGAUUUGACAAUGUGGUGCUACAGUAACCAUUUGCUAAUGGUGGAUUAAUUAGGCUUAAUAGAUUCGUCUCGCGAAUUAACAUAGGGUUCUGCAAUUAAUUUUAUAAUUAGCUCAUGUCUAGUCCUUCUAAUUAGCAUCCGAACAUCUGAUAUGAUACUGCUAAAGUUUAUCACCUAGUAUCCAAAUACCCCCUUAAUGCACGAUGCCUGUGCAUCCACUGGGCCUACCCUCGUGGAUCACGCGCUCGUGGAUCACGCGCACCAUGACAUGGCUCAUUAGCUAGUCGUGCUAAUCCUUACCACCAAAUUAAAAACUAGCAUGUGUUGUGUGUUUGUGACCCUAAACGACUACCACCUUCCCGAGUCCACCGGAGUUGCCAGUUCACCACUAAGCUGACUCUCCGAGCUUCAUGUCACUGUCACCGCUCCAAAGACCUAGAUCGGUUCGCUGUGCACCCCGCUUCGUCCUGAGCUAAAUCCCAUCACGAAAGGUGACCGGAUGCUCGUUUUCGAGCGAAUUCUAGCGAGAUUGCCACCACCUUUCCCCUUCCAGCCGAUCGCAGCUGUCUGAUCACAAACCGACAGCCCAGAUCGGAUUUGACCAGGUCAAUACCGGUCAAGCCGAGAUGCAUGCUGCUUUUGCAAGAAGGCCCCUAUUUUUCUCUCUUUUUGCACUUGAGGUCCUACGCAGUUCAAAAGUAAUUAGAUCUAGAUCCUUUUUCUUCUGUUUUAGCCCUGUUCUUUUAUAAAAUCCCACCCGCCAUCCUGUUUGGUAUUUUGACAUGUUAGACCUUCUAUUUAUAUGUUUAAUUAGGUUUUAGCCCUUGGUUUCUUUAAGUUUAGCUCUUGGAAGUUUAGUUUUCUCGCAGUUAAGCCCCUGAACCUUGUUUAGUUCAUAUCUUUAGCGUUUUAAAUCCGUUUUAAGAGAUUCUUACGCCCAUAAGUUCGUGUUGAUGCAUAGAUUAGUUGACUUAUACGGACCUUGCUGAUUCAGCUCCUUCAUUGUGCUUCAGAUCUCGCUAGUGAAGAAUAAUGGAUGGGCUUUGGUUGAGCUUGUAGAUCGACCUGCAGUUGCAGUGAAUGUGCUGAGGACUGGCGGUACCAAUAAUGGGAGGCCGCUGCUCUGCUUGCUACCAAGGCCUGCGACGCUUGGACGCCAUUCAGAGUGCAUAAUUUCCAAGGAUCUCAAGGGCUCCACACCACGUUCCAAGUGUUUUUUCUUUGCCGAGUGUUUUUAGCUCGGCACUUGGCAAAGAGCUUGUUUGCCGAGUGUCCGAAAAAAACACUUGGCAAAGAGAAAACACUCGGCAAAUUUGAUGUUUCCCGUAGUGAUGUACUAUUCAAACUUGAACUGGGAUGCAGGCUUCAGUACCAAAGAGAGCUCUGGGCGCGGGUGAGCAGUGAGCUGGCCGGGCAGGGAGCUCCAAAGCGACAGCAACAAAGAGAGAAAUGCUAAGAGUAAGAACGACACACGAGGUCACUUCACAUAGAUAAUAGCAGUACGAACCAUACAAUAUCCUCUCUCAGUUUCACUCCGCCUCACACACGGCUAGCACACCAUGCAUGCCGAUUUCAUAUUAUUAAUAUUAUUUUUUGGAUGGUUGUUGAAACUAUAUAUAUAGUUAGUCCAAUCUCACGUUUCCGAUUAUAAAAAUCAACGUAAAGAGAUCGGUAGGGAGAGCCGGCAUAAUGAAGCCGACGCGUGUAAUAAGCACCAGAGCCGGCAUUUAUACAAACUGGUACGAAUAGUAAAAAACUAGAAUUUAUAAAUAAAAAAAUGAUUUGCACAUCUAUGCAAUAAUUAGGGGUUAGUGGCAGGUCUAGAGAGAUAUCUCAUCAUUAUAUCCGGUUUAACGAGGAUAAAAAAGAGUGUAUUUUCCACUCAUCAUGUUGUCUUUUCGCAGCGGUACCACUUUUCGUGUGUUGUAUCGGUCCCCUAAUACGGAGUCUCCGAGGCCCGAGAAAAUAAGGAAAGUGAUAGUAGCCCAGAAAUCGGCCAAGUUUCUUUCCCCUUUGGCUUUCCUACUAGGAUUCAGAAUCCUCUUUCGCAUGACAAUCUUAAUUAUCUCCCAUACUCCAAAACUCACAAAAACAUCAAGAGUCCGCUGAGAAUAAAUUUAAGUAAAAAACAUGCACACACAGAUAAUAAUAAUAAUCAUGUUUCCAUAAAAUUGCUAAGUCCAGAGAUAAUACAUAAACAUAGUAGACUGUUCAUGACACAUAUCACGGUGGACAGUGUUUGUGUCCUUAUUACAAGCAACGAGAGAUGCUCGUCACCAACACGCGCGCGCACAGAUGCACGACAUACAUAUAGUAGAGACCAACAGAUGGUCGUCCCAUAUGGUGAACAAUUUAUUGGAGAUAAAUAUUAACGUAACUUGGCCAUAGCUUGAAGCAUAGCAACAUAUGCCUAUGAGUGGCAUUCAUGCUAUCGUUUUAGGCUUGUCCAGCUCCUUCCAUCUUAGCAAGCACUUCCAUUUCUACCAUCUUAGCAGCAACUGUCAAAUUGAGAUACGGAAAUCCCAUUAGCGCAUGAGUUAAUUUUGCAGUGGAAAUAGAGUACAAGAUGUCUUCAUGAUGUAAGUAAUAUGCCUGAAGUUGUGAGAUGGGAAGUGAAGUCAACAAAUUACAUUAACGGAAAUGCAUGGAAGGCCACACAUACGUAUUAGUCCAUGAUAUGCUACAAAGCUUGUAUGUACAUAUAGCAAAUUAAAUGCAUUAAUUGAAUAGAGUGUGUUUAGUGAAUUUACCAGAAUCGUCCAGAAAACAUGGGAAACAGCAAGUGUUCUUGCAGACUGCGUCGGAGGCACCCGCACGAAUACAAAGCUGACAACAUAGUUUUGCCUGGGCGGAUGCGCAGCAGCCGCACUCCGCCGCGGUGGGGUUAACAUUGAGGCUCAAGAUGACCAGGCACAUGAUCACCAUCAAAGUGGUAGUCCUCUUUCCCUCCAUUGCCUCCUCUUAGCUUGCUGCUACCUUCCUUGGUUACCUAGCUAAGUUUAUUGGUUUUGUGUUGAGAGGUGUGAUUCUUGAAUGGACGUUGCCGGCGGCAAUUUAUAGGCAGCUGAGCUAUGUGAUGAUAUGGACUAGGUGCAAAUGGGUGGUUAAUGGCAAGGAAAGGGGCGUCAGACAAAGCCCAAUGGCAACUGCUGACAUGCGAUUAAAUUCAGAUCCACAUCCGGCCAUUCAAUAAUACGGUUGGAGUUGUGGCACAGAUAUAUUAUUGCAUGAUCAUCAAGAUAAGAUCGUACAGUGACUGAGUGAGACAAUAAAUAGCCAAGUAAACUAUUUUAUCCUGCUGCAAGCUGCAUUCAUAAGUUUAUUUCACCUUUGAUCACAAUACUCUUCACACACGUACGUCUCAGGGAGAUCUCACUUCCGCUGGACUGCUCACUUCCGCUGUCGUCGGUACUGCCAAAGACAUAAGCUCACAUCUGCUAUUGCGGAGCAGGCCAAUUUGCUGCGGAACUUCGGCGACGACCUGAAGGACAUGAACUCGGUGCUGGAGUCCAUCUCAGCAGCGCUCUAGGACGCUGACACCGGUAGAAAAACGACCUUCCAUCGUCAACAAAAAUCCCGGUAGCUUUUUUACUCGGUACUAAAGAGGUUUUAAUCUCGUGCAAACACCUUUAGUCCGGAUUGCUGUUACCACGCAACCCGAACUAAAGCGUCCCCCACGAGUUACUAUAUAAGGAUUGCAUCCUUUACUCAGUCAGAUAUAAUGUGUAGGUGAGAUGGUAAGGAAGCUAUACGUGAGGCUUCAGGUUGUGGGUUCGAAUCCAAGGAGAAGUGGGUGCAGCUGUGGCUUAAGCGGCUGAGGCACGCCGCCAUAGACAUCUCAGAUUUGCUCGAAGACUACCAAGACACUAGUGAACCCUUAACAGUAAAGGUGAGUACUUAUGAAUGUCAGCAUCCAUGUUGUCCAUGCUUCCAAUGUAAUAACAAGAUGGACUACUCUUCCUAGCGGACUCUUCACAACCACUCGUAAAGCUAUACGUUUCUCAAUGCAAUUUCGUAGAAGCCAAUCGAUCCAACCAAGUGACUAAAUCAUUCAUCCUUUCCAAUGAUGUGCAUCAGGUUUUCUACAUGAAGGGCAUCUCUAGCAAACCCAAGAUUUCAGAAGAAAAAGAAAAAUCAUUGGAGCCAAAGAGCCACAUAGUUCUUCCAGGAAAAAAAAAUCAUGGGAGUCGAGAACAAAUCAAACCAAUCAGAGGAUUAUGGUCAGCUUAAUGGCAUGCCUCCAUUCGAUGUCGAAGUUCACCCAAGCAUCAUGUUAGCCAAACAUCAAAUGUUCGUGCGUUGUUACGGUAAAGAUCAAUUGUGUUUUUUAAACUCAUGGAAUUUUUUUUCUAAGUUUUUAUUACACUUAUUGGAUGUCUACACAUUUGCUAGAAAACCAAAAUAAUUUGGACUUAAUUAUUUCUUUCAACUGAAGUACUCACUAAAUUUCUACCUUUUUAUUUAAGCAAGAGAGUUGCUAAAAAAAAUGGAUACAUAACCAUGUUGUAUCGUACAAAGCAACCACAUUUCACAUAUAGUCCGGCUUACCAAACACCAUUUUUUACUGAACAUAGCGUACAUGAGUUAAGAGACAUGGAUUUAUUUCUAUUGCAAGUAGCAUAGCGUACAACCUGCCUGCACCGAUGCAGCUCAAUAUGCGAUAAUUUUUAUCUUCCCAUGUAAUUUUUCUACUCUAGUACAUAUUGAACUCCACAUUAAUGUCAUGUUCUUUGGCGCCCCAGACGGUUCCUAAAGUUUGGAAACAAAAUAGAUAGCCAGAAAUUUUUUUAAAAAAUAUUUAUAUGGAUAUUUGUAUGUUCUUUGCAAACUAACAAUAUUGUUUACCAAUAUCAAAAGGAAUAUGGCUAGGAGCCAUUGCCGCAUAUGGCAGGUGAUGGUAGAUGGCGUAUGGGAUUUCGUUAAUUUAAUGGUAUAAUAAGCUGAAAUACAUUUUCUAUUUGCAAAUGAAUCAUAGCUGAAAGUGGUGAGAUUGUUUUUUCGCCGGUUUAGCAUCCUGUGCACCGGUUCAACUGGAGGGAAGCGGUUCACCGAGACGGAUGACAAUUUUACGGCAGAAUCAUUACUUGUUUUAUUAUUAGGUGAAGAUUUUAGCUUUUAGGUAUCUCACAUUAACAAUCUGUUUCUAGUGUAUAAUGUAGGAGACCCGUAAAGAGUCUACACACACAUAUAUAUGUUGACUAUGAAUGUAAGUUUGUUGGUUUUAUGUAUGUUCAUUUGGAGUUUAUAUAAAUUUUACAUUUUAUAGUUUUGUGUAUAUGACGAAGAUCCAUGACUUGCAUUAAUUUAACCUUUCUUCCAACAACUCUUAUGCAUGCUGUUUCUAGGGGAGCGCACUGGUUGCAAUUUUGGUCCCCGAUAUAGCAUGAGGACUUAAGGGAGACGGGCACGUCGUAACCUUAGAUAUUUUUGCAAGAAGCAAAUUAUACUUUGCUUUUGAUUUUCUCCAUGCCAUUUGCUGACUCUUAUCCCUUUUAUUUAUCAUUAUAAGAUGAAAAUAUUGUAAAAACUUGGUUACGUGCGGUCGCAGAAGCUAGAGACUAUUUCUUUUUUUAAAAAUACGCAAGAGGGAGAAACUUGGUAACAGCUAGACAGUGAAGAUCGCAUUUCAUAAGAAAGAUGGUGCACGUUCUUGUUUGGCUGUUAACGAAAUGACUUCGUUUCACCACACCACCAGAGAGCCCCAUUGCACUUGCAGCAAAAGCGUGGAGCCGCUUUCAACCAGCGUGCAAUAAUGCAGUCCCGCGUGUCUUGGUCUUACAGGAUAUUUGGUUCUUUAGUCCGGACUAAAAUUCAUGUCGCAUAGAAUAUUCAGAUGUUAAAUAGGAGGACUAAACAUGAGCUAAUUAUAAAAAUAAUUACACAAAUGGAGGCUAAUUCCCAAGACAAAUCUAUUAAGUCUAAUUAAUCCAUCAUUAGCACAUGUUUACCGUAGCACCGUAUUGUCAAAUCAUGGACUAAUUAGGCUUAAUAAAUUCGUCUCGCAAGUUAGUCUCCAUCUAUACAAUUUGUUUUAUAAUUAGUCAAUGUUUAAUACUCUAUCUAAACAUUCAAUGUGACUGAAAUUUUAGGAGGUCCUAAAGAACCAAACACCCCUUAGUCUCCGCCUGAACUAUAGCAGGUGCUGGCAGCGGUAGCAGGGUCGUCCAUUAUAUCUAUGGAUGGAAAUGAUCUGAUUCGGAUGGAAUCGAAUUCGAAUAGCACUUUUUACCACAUACUAAUCUGAAUUGGAUGUUCUCGAAUGUGAAUGCAAAACGGAUAGUUCAAAUUUGAAUACUUUGCGGAUUUUUGCAUAAUAUUAAUCGAAGAGAAUUUGUUAAAUUUAGCCGAGACAUAAAUUUUUCUAAAUUCAAAUACUUUGCAGAUUUUCGAAUGCAAAUUUUUUCAUACGAUCUCGGUUGAAUACAAACUUUAUAUCAAAGUUGUAUAUUUAGAUUAUAUAUAAAACUUUGUAGUUGACCUCCUUUUCAUUUAAAAUUUUUUAAUAGCUCAAAACAUUAUUCUAAGCUUUCUAAUUUCAAAAUCUUGAAUUUUAAAUUUUUCAAACGACCUCGGAUGCAAACAAGCUCUAUAUCAAAGUGCUUAAUGAGAUAUAAAAUUUUGUAGUUGACAAGUUUUUUAGUUGAAAACAUUUAGUUAUCACAAACAUACAAGUUCUUCAUUUGAUGUCGAGGAUUGGAAGUGUUGAGUUUGAAGAAUAUAUUCUUUGAUUACAAACUUUUCCAUAUGAUCUUGGAUGAAUACGAACUUUAUUUCAAAGUUGCAAAUUUAGAUUAGACCAAAAACAGUAUAGUUUACAAUUUUUUCAUUCAAAAUUAUUUAGUAGCUCAAAAUGUUAUUCUAAACUCUCUAAUUUUGAAAUCUUGAAUUUUAAAAUUUUCAAAUGACCUCGGAUGCAAACAAGCUCUAUAUCGAAGUGGUAGUUCUUAAUGAGAUAUAAAAUUUUGUAGUUCCAUCUGAGAUCAUUUAACAGUCACAAAUAUACAAGUUUUUCAUAUGAUGCUAAGGAUCAGAAAGAUUAAGUUUGAAGGCUGUAUUUUUUUAAUACAAAUUUUUGCAUACGAUCUCGGAUGAAUACAAACUUUAUAUCAAAAUUGUAGAGCUCGAUGAGAAUUUAAACUUUGUAGUUGAUAUAUUUUUCAUUCGAGAAUGUUUAGUGGUCCAAACAUGUAUUAUAAGUUCAGAGAAGAAACACACAAUCGGCCACGUCAUCAAUUGACAACUUCCAAACUGAGCAUUCCUAUUGGUUCACACCUUUCCCUUUCAACUCGUCAAGCUUAUCUCCUCCCACUCCUCCAUCGUUCACUCCCCCUUCCCCUUCCUCUCUCCCUCCCUCCCUCCGCUCCAGCAGUGGCAGCCCGACCUGCCUCCUAGGACGGUGGUGUGCGGGGCUCGGGCAUCCCUGGCCUCUAGUGGCGUGGCAGGGCGGCCUCCAGCAGCGAUGGCGGAACUCGGCCUCCGGUGGCGCACAGGCAGCGCAGCCUACCUGGUCAAAGGCGGCGCAACAGGGCGACCUCCCCAGCCUCCGGCGGCGCGCAGGGCAUCCAUGACCUCCCCGGCCUCCCUUGCCAGAGGUGGUGCGCGGGGCUGCGCCGACCUCCCCAACCAGAGGUGGCAAGGCCCCAGCUUACGGCGGCGCGUGGCUCCCCAGCUAGGGUGUGGUGGGGCGGCGGCAAGUCAGGCGUGGCCGCGUGGGGGUGGGGGGAGGGGGUUGGGCUGGGCGGAUUCAGAUAGUAUCCAUUUAACCAUCCGAAAUGUGGAUAUCCGUUUAACAAUCCGUUUAGCAAAACCGAAUUUGGAUACUUCCACUUAAGUAUCCAACUAGGAUUCGAAUGCGGAUGGUCCUACCAUAUUGUUAUUUCAGCGGAUACGAAUAUGGGAUAAUUCGAAUAACGACUUACCCAUCCCUGAUUAUAUCCGUGUAAAUAAAUAAUUGCGGCAGCAGGUUCCCGUCGCCACGCCCCCGUCAAACCAAACAAUUGCUUGCGCGACACCGUGUUACUAGAUCUUGUACAGUACUCCCUCCGUUGCAGUACUCCCUAAUGAAAGUUGAGAAUCGAUCGACAACCACGGCUAGUUGCUAUGCACUCGAUCAGAUGGUCCAGGCGCCCGCUGGUAAUCAGGUCGUGGUUCACGCGCAUCAGGCCAGCUAUGACGUUGCCAGCAGUGCUCAGUACACAAAUCUAGCUAUCAGUCGGAUCCAAUUGGGCAGGCAUUUGCACUGUGGUUGUGUUUGAACCUGUAGAUGUCGUUGUCAUUAUCAGGCACCAUACAUCCUCUCUCAGAGGGUGUUUCACCCCCUAAACUUUAGCCCCUCUCACAUCGAAUGUUUUAGAUACUAAUUAGGAAUAUUAAACAUAGAAAAUUUACUAAACCCAUUACAUGGAUGGAGGGUAAACGGCGAGACAAAUCUAUUAAAUCUAAUUAGUCCAUGAUUUGACAAUGUGCUGCUAUAGUAACUAUUUGCUAAUGAUGGAUUAAUUAGACUUAAUAGAUUUUUCUUGCUGUUUAGCCUCCGUCUGUGCAAUUAGUUUUAUAAUUAAUUCAUAUUUAGUCCUCCUAAUUAGUCUCCGAAUAUUUGAUGUGACACGGACUAAACUUUAGAUAGCACACCAGGGACCGACACCAUGCAUGCUGAUUUCAUAUCAUAAUUAAGGAAAGUGAUAUCAUAAUUAAGGAAAGUGGUAGCAUCCAAGAAAUCGAUCAUGUUUCUUCCCCCUUUGGCUUUCCUACUAGGAUUUGGAUAGCGGGCCUUCCUACUAGGAUUUGGAAUCCGCUAUCGCAUGACUAUCUUAAUUAUGUCCCAUAGUCCAAAACUCACAAAACAUCAAAAAUCCAUCGAGAAUAAAUUAAGUAAAAAACAUGCGCACACAGAUAAUAAUAAUAAUAAUCAUGUUUCAAUAAAAUUGCUAAGAUUAGAGAUAGUACAUAAACAUAUUAGAUUGUUCGUGACACAUAUCAUGGUGGAUAGUGUCUGUGUCCUUAUUACAAGCAGCGAUAGAUGCUUGUCACCACACACACGCACGCACAGAUGCACGACAUACAUAUAGUUGAGACCAACGGAUGGACGUCCCAUAGGGUGAAUAAUUUAUUGGAGAUAAAUAUUAACAUAACUUGGCCAUAGCUUGAAGCAUAGCAACAUAUGCUUAUGAAUGGCAUUCAUGCGGGUAGCAAUGCUAUCAUAUGCUUUUAGGCUUGUCCUUAGCUUCUUCCAUCUUAUAGCAAACACUGCCAUUUCUUCCAUCUUAGCAGCAACUGUCAAAUUAAUUGAGAUAUGGAAAUCCCAUUAGCGCAUGAGUUAAUUUUGCAGUGGAAAUAGAGUAGAAGAUGUCUUCAUAAUGUAAGUAAUAUGACUCUGACAUAGGGAGUGAAGUCAACAAAUUACAUUAACGGAAAUGCAUGGAAGGCCACGCAUAUGUAUUAGUCCGAUAUGCUACAAAGCUUGUAUGUACAUAUAAUAAAUUAAAUGCAUUGAAUAGAGUGAUUUUAGUGAAUUUACCUAAAUCGGAUUAAAAAACAUGGGAAACAACAAGUGUUCUUGUAGGGCUUUGUUUAGUUCCCAAAUUGGGAGUAGCAAAGUUUGCAUUUUACCAUAAAUGCGCAACUAUAGCAUGUAGCAUUUUGUUUGUAUUUGUGAAUUAUUAUCCAAACAUUGACUAAUUAGGCUCAAAAGAUUCAUCUCGCAAAGUACAACAAAACUGUGCAAUUAGUUUUUGAUUUCGUCUACAUUUAGUACUCCGUGCAUGUACCGCAAGUUUGAUGUGAUGGGGAAUCUUGCUUUUCAAUAGUGACAAAGUUGGGAUUUCGGGGGGAAGGCCUGUGUCGGAGCCACAUGCAAGAAUGGCUGACAUUGAGGCUCAGACAAAGCCCAAUGGCAACUGCUGACAUGCGAUUAAAUUUAGAUAUCCACAUCCAGCCAUUCACAUUUAUGAGAUAUGGACACGGUGCAAAUGGGUGGGGUCCUGAUAUGGAGGUGCGAAUGGCUGUCUACUUGUAUAGUGUAGCUCCAAUGUACGUAUAUGUAUCUUAUGCAUGUAUACAGUUGCACAAACUCUGAACCAACUCUUCAUAACAGGUCUUUGUUACCAAGUAACUUUACUUUUGCACGUUUCAGCCGAGAGGUAGAAGAGAAUAUUUUUGCAUUUUCCAUGUGCGUCAGUGGUAGAGAACUAGGAAUUAGUUCCGGAUGGUAGGGCACAAAUCUUCCAAACAACUAUCCGAAAUUAAGCAAUCGAGAUAAAGGGUGCCAUCUAUUCUCUCCGAAAAACACAGGUACCAAAAAGAAGAAGAGAAGAGGGAGGGCCUCCCGUUAAGGCCCGCUCGGGGUCUCCAUCCCACCACGCGCCCUCCCAACCCAAAGCCCAUCGUUUUCCCUCCGUCCCUCCCCUCUCCAUUGCCGCCGCCGCUCCCCUCAUCCGAGCUCGAUACGGGUGGUCGGCGGCCCCUCCUCUCCGCUCCCGCCCCCGGCCUCCCUUUGACCGCCGGGCGCCGGCAUCACUGCCGCGGCCAACCCCAGGGCGCAGCGCGUGCCUCUAUUUCUCUCCCCCGUUCAAGGGCCCUUUGAUGGCGACGAGCACCCACCCACCAGGUAUGCCCUCCCCUUCUCUUCCUAACCCUAAUAUAUUCGGAUCUCACCCAGUCACAAUAUAUUACCUAAUAGCUUCGAUUUUGUUUGCAAAAAUCAUCACGUGCGCACCCAUGUCCGCUAGAUUCUUGCGCCUGAUCCUGUGCUGCUAUGGUUUGGGCGGGGUAGACUAGUUGAUUCGUGCACUUUUGGGUGCUUGUAGUGCUAGGUUUUGGAGGGGGAUAGCCCAGUUGAUUCCUCCGUUUUGGGUGCUCAUGGUGAUAGGAUUUGGAUGGGGAUAGCCCCAAUGAUUCGUGCGCCUUUGGGUGCUGGGGAUAGUUUUGGGUGCCUGGAUAGUCCAGUUUCAAUGUCAGUAUAUGCGUAUUUUGGGGAGAAUUUUGUUUUGGGUGGUUCUGGUGCUAGAGUUUCUGAUGCUUAGUAGCCCAGUUUCAAUCAAAUUCCCCCAUGGGUCGUGCACUACGGGAAACAAGAAAAUUGCCGAGUGUAUUUUUUUUGUCGAGUGUUUUUUUUCGAGCACUCAGCAAACAAGCUCUUCGCCGAGUGCCAAGUCAAAAACACUCGGCAAAAAAAAACACUCGGCAAAUCGGGGCUUUGCCGAGUGUCAAAUAAAAAACACUCGGCAAAGAAGGGGGUUUGCCGAGUGUUAAAAAAAACACUCGGCAAACAGGAGGGUUUGCCUAGUGUUUUUUUGACACUCGGCAAAAAAAUAAUUGUUUUUCCUCUUUUCACCUUGAAAUUUUUUCUACUCCCCACAUACAACACGUGGUACUCCAUGUUAAAAUUUGGUAUAUUUUUGGAUUUAUUUGCUAUAUUUAUUUAAUUAAUUGCAUUACAAGGAAAUUUUUGGUAUAAGUCAAAUUUGAACUGCAAGUGAUUCAAAUUGUGGAACAAAAUGAGUAGAAAAAUGAUAUUCAUGUUAUUUGGCUCAAUUUGAGACCUGACCCAUGAAAUGAAAAGAAAUUUCGAACAUCUUGUUCAGGAAACACGACAAUGAACAUGUGGCGGUAGUAUUUUUAAAUUGUAAAAAAAACAAGCAAAGUCUGAAAAUCAUGAGAUUUGUAGUUAUGUGAUGAUAUAAUACGUGGAAGCUGUGGAAAAAAAUUGGAAAGGUUUUGCACAUUUCAUCAUGUACGAUGAUUACAAACCGAAGCAUAUCAGAAGAAGAAUAGUAACUUUGAGAAGGAUUCGAUAAAAUUUAGAGUCGAAGUGACGGUCGAGUUCGGUUUGACUACAAAACUUUUUGUAUAGUCAGUAGAGAACAUAUCUUAUUUCGUGUGAAAAUUUGGUAUUUUUUGAAACUGUUGGAUAUUUUUAAUUUUUUUUUAAAAAAACUUUGCCGAGUGUCCUAGGGUAGACACUCGGCAAAGAAAAACUUUACCGAGUGCCCGCCUAGGACACUCAGCGAACCUUUUUUUAAACCUACCGGCUCCGGCCGGCCCAGCCCACAAACACCACCCGCCCCCCGCCCCCGCGCCUUCUUCCUCACGCCGCCCCCGCCCCCCACCCGUGCCUCCGGACCGCCCCCUCCUCCCCCUGGCCUCCCCUCACGCCGCCCCCCUCCUCCCCUAGCUCCCUCCACCGGCGGCCCUCCCUCCCCCGGCGCACAUCCUCCACUCCUCCUCCCCUUCCCUUCCCUCCCCUCCCCUCCCCUCUUCCUCCCCUGGCCGGAUCUGGCGCCCCUAGCUCCCCUUUCUUCCGCGGCCAGAUCUGGCGCCCUCCCGGCGGCGGGUCGUGGCGAUCGGGGCGGCGGCGGCGGAUCAGGCCGCGGGGCGGCGGCGGCGGCGGGUCGUGGCUACCGGGGCGGCGCCCUGCCCCUCCCCUCCCUCUCCAUCUCCGGCUGCCGUCCACCCCCUCCCCGGAUCCGCCCCCCUCCCCUCCGCGCGGCCAGCCCCUCCUCCCUCUCCGGCCGCCGCCCCGGCCCCUCCUCUCCCUUUCUCCGGCCACCGCCCCGCCCAUCUUCUCUGGAUCCGGCCGGAUCCGGCCGCCGCACAGCCCCUCCUCCCCGGAUCCGGUGGGCGCGGACUUCGUGGUGGUGGCGCCGGAUCCCUCCCCUCCCUCUCCAGAUAACUCCCUCCACUCCUCCGCUCUUCCCCUCUCUCGCGCGGCGGCCUCUCUCCGGCCGCCGCCCCGCCCCUCUCCCCGGAUCCGGGGGGGGGGGGACUCCGCCCCUCUGCCCCGGAUCCAGCUCCCCGACCCGCGAGUGGGGCGAGCUUGCUCAUGCGGUCGACGUCGAGGCCAGGGUGUGGUGGAGGUGGUGGCCGGCGGGUGUGGUGGUGGUGGCGGCGGCGGGCAUGGCGGCGCGGAGGCAAGGCACGGCGGCCGGUGGGAGGCACGGGUGCAAGGCGUCGACGGCAGGAGGCAAGGCACGGCAGCAUGGGAGGUGGUGCUGUGGUGGUGGUGCUGGCGGUGGUGGCGGCGGCGGAGCAGGAUGUGGUGGUGGCGGAGGAUGUUUUUUUUUCAAAAAUUUGUUGCCGAGUGUUUUCUCGGCACUCGGCAAAGACUUUACCGAGUGCCCGACACAAAACACUCGGCAACUCAGUGUUUGCCGACUGAAAAAUUGCCGUGUGCCGUUUGCCGAGUGUUACACUCGGCAAACGGUUCGCCGAGGGUUUUUUGCCCUUCGCCGAGUGCCCCUAGCACUCGGCAAUUUCACUAUCUCCCGUAGUGGUGGCUGGACUUAUGGGGGGAUCAUUGAUGGGGGACUAGUUGGAUACUUUUUGGCUGUUUUGGGAGUCCUUGGCAGCGGCUUCUCAGGGCGUACGUAGCCCAUUGUAGAUUCCAGCCGAGAAGAUUAAGGAAUUGUGACUGCAACCAUGUUACUUUUCUAGGACUCUGUUUCUGAUAUUGUUCCCGCUGCAUCUUUUCAUCCCCAUGGUGAAUGUUGCUGUUGAUCUGUAGAUUGGAUUUGUUCCUCGGUAGCUUUAUUAGAUUUGUGCUGAAUGAUAAUCUCUGCCUGUGAUAUUUUUCUUCAUUGCGGAUGUGUGCCGAGUAUUAUCCCCUUUGUUCAUUCUGUUGGCUUUUUUUAUUGUCUCUGUACUCGGCUGUUCAGCUUGUGCAGCUAAUGAUCUAAUGUAUUUUGUCGUAACUAUGUAUUUUUCGGAUGUGUGCCGAGUAUUAUCCCCUUUGUUUAUUCUGUUGGCUUGCUUUCAUUGAUCUUAAGAUAACUGGUGCUAUAAAUUCACACUAGCUGAUGCACUUGCAAAUAGCUAUGUAAAUAUGAAAAGAAGUAUUUUUUUAUCCUUUUGUUUGUUUGGCAUCAUAUCUGUUUAAAUGGCAUAGCAAUAAGAAUUUUUUGUUUUUGGGGAAUCAUAUCUGCUUAAAUGGUAUAGAAAAUGCUGAGUGCACUGUCAAAUAGAUUUUCCAGCAGUCUGCUUUCAGUUGUUUUUGCAAAUCCUCACAGGCCAGUGAACUGACUUUGUUUUUACCACCCCAUGCCAUUUAAAUGACUAAAUCAGUCAGCCUAAUACUAUAUAUGGUCAUGCUAUGAUCUUAUUUCUUGAAGCUCUAUAGGUCAACCCAUAAGGGUAACUUAGUUUUUCCUAUUCUGGCUGGGGAAGUGGAUACGAUGGCUAUCCUUGGUAGAGUUAAAUACAUUGGCGGCUCUUAGCGCGCCAAUGUGGCACCACAAUAUCGAACAUAUGUAGAAACCCCCUUGUUUUUUCUCAUAUCCCUCUCUCUCAGCGUCCUCUUCUCUUCUUCUCCUCUGUCUCCUCCCCUCCCAUCGCGUGCUUUAUUGCGCCGCCGCCAUCCGCCUCCAUGUAUGAACACGUCGUUUGUCAUGAAGAAGCAGUUGAUGAGGCAAUCAAGCAUGUGGUGCACAAGGUUCUUCUGCUGGCCAAGUCCGAGUCGAACAGCCGCGCAUUCAUUGGGGAAGCACGCGCCAGGCAUCACCAGGCUCCUCGUGCCCCUACUCUGCUCCAAGGACUCGGUGCUUCGACGCGCUGCUUUCCCUGUCCGGCGAGCGGGGAUCGUUGGGAGAUGAUCGAUGGAGGAUGGAGCUGAUCCUCCUGUACACGGUGCCGGUGGGGAGCAGGGAGCUGCGGAGCAGGUCCACGGGCGGCGCCAUUACAGCAGGUGCAGGCUAAGGGUAAUGAGCAGAUCGAGGCGAUGGAGGAGGACCCGCACGAGGUGCAGCUUCUUCGCCUCCUGCGCAAAGUCAGCGCCCAAGCAGCCGCUGAGGGACAGGCCGAGGCUUAGCUCGAUCUCAUCCGACUAAAUGGUGGCUGCACUCCCACAGUCCCACUGGUGCUCCUCCCUUCUGUCCGAACCUGCCGAGGAAAUCCCUCGAUGCCAUGGGUCCCGGCUGGACGACUACUCCUCCCACAGAUUGACUGAGGAAGAAGAGCUUCUCAGUGUCCAAAAAUUCAGUUACACUGGAAACAGCAACCAAUUACGUUCUUCCGGCUCAGCCAAGCCCCAAUCUCCUUGCUUCUGUGCGCCCCUGCUAAAUAUUCCAGAAACCAAUCUGGUUAGUUGUUUUUUCACAUUUUCAGUGCAUGCCGGUGCUGCUGUGUGCGGCAUGCAUGGAGUUGUCGUGGGAGUGCACGGUGGCUUAGCUGGUGCGCCAGUGCGCGGGCACGAACACAACGGUGAAGAUGGCAGGGCCAUCUCAAAGCUCCUGAGCACCUGCACGCGUCGCUGAGCAGGACAUGCUGCGACGGUGGGCGAGCGCUGCUAACGCCCUGGGGAAGAGCAGUGGGUGCAGAGAGAGGGAGCGAGGGAGAGGGGUUCUUGUAUAUGUUUGCUAGCGUGGCACCGUUUACGGUGCCCGCCUAAGUGGCAUUCACGUGUCAUUCAUCCCAAAUGGUGUUGCAAGGUUGAACCUAUUGUGGGAGGCUUUUGGUUUCCCUUGACAGUAUCACCAGUGAUAUCACUGCGUUCUGGUUAUGUAUGAAACACUUGUCCUUUUAAAACCUUUCUGAAUUUAGAAACGAAUUUGAAACAUUACCCUCAUUUCCAUGUUUUUCUAUCUUUUGUCCCUGUAAAAUCAAACUAAAUUUGAAUUAUUAUGUUCAGAACUACAAGCUGAUUUACUUGUCCCAUUUGCUAAUAACAGGGCCUUGUGAUUUCUAAUGAACAUUGCAGAGCAUGUUAUAAAGCGUAUGCAUGAACACCAAGGGGAUGAAACCAUUGGUAUAUUUCUCACAACCUUUUGAACUUAUCAUUUAGCAUAUUUGUGUUCUAGUGUGACGUUUCAGCCACGAGACAUGAGAAAUGUUAGCUAUGGAUUUUGGUUAUUCAUCAUGGGUUCACAGAUUUGUUUUUCUCUAAAAGAAUUGGGAAGUAGCUUUCUUUCUGGGUAUAUGUGGGGAAAUGCAUAUGCAAUCUUUUAUUUAUUGAGGUGACUGUAAAAUUCUUGUCUGACUGAAUAUGCGAUUUCAACCUACAUGCUAUACUUAGGGAAAUUUGUGAAUCUCCUAAUGUCUGCUGCAUGGCAUGAAUGCAUAUUUUACUGGUCCAUAAUGUGAAGUUCUGUAUAUAAACUUCUCGUGUUGACCCUUUAGAACAUGCUAACUGGAGAGUUUUCUAGAGUAGUUAAACAAGAGAUUUAGUUAAAUCUGCACACAUAGGUGGGGCCUGGCAUACCCUAAGAAUCGGCCUAGCCGGUCAGCCCAUUAGUAAAAAAAAAAGCACCGCAGUCAGCAGUCCCCACGUUGGUCUUCCUCGAGUCGCGACUCGCGAAGCUCCCAUCCUCCGAGUCCAAGAUGGUGGACUGUGUCGAGCGCGGGGCGGGCGAUUAGUUGCCCGGCCGCCGGCGGGGGAUGGCCGGACGGCCAGAUCGCCGACUCCUCUAGUCCUCCCUCCAGCCUCUGCGCUUCUUUCACAGUGGAGCUAGCGGCGAGGCGCCCGACCGACACCCUUCUUCCCAAAUCCCGGCAGCCCUACCUCGAUUUGGCCUCCUCCGAUCAUUUGAUAAUCAAUUUGAUGAAAUUAAUAUGGAGUUGCUUUCUUGUAUGGUUGCCUUCAAUCCUGCUAAUUCAUUUGCUUCAUUUGAUGCACAAAAGAUACAUAGACUUGCUAUAUUUUUAUCCACAAGACAUCACAAGCACGGAUUUGCUAAAACUUGAAUUCCAGCUCGAUAUUAUAUUGAUGAUGUGAGAUAGGAUGAUAGUUUCAAAGGCCUACAAGAUCUUGUUAACUGAGACUCAGUUAAGCUUGUUGAAACAAACAGGCAUAAUAUUUAUGACUUGGUUUACUUGCUUCUCAAAUUGGUAUUGGUUCUUCUUGUGGCGACAGCUAGUGUUGAAAGGGAUUUUUGUGCAAUGACUUUGAUCAAGAGUAAGCUAAGAAAUAAGAUGGGUGAUAGUCUUUUGGAUGAUUGUCUUAUCACAUUCAUUGAGAAAGAUAUUUUCUUUGAAGUGGAUGAAGAAGAUAUAAUUAAGACUUCAUAUCCAUUAGAAAUCGUAGGCUGGAGAAGAAGUAAUAUUUUAAUUUUCUUUGAACGUUAGGUCUGUAAGCUUCUUUUAAACUAUCUACAUUAUAAUUUAUGGACCUUUUAAUUUAACCGUUGAAUUCAUGAUAUUAUGAGAUUUUUUUAUCUAUGUUAUUAUUGUUUACCGAUUUAUUACCAAAUUAUUAGUUUGAUCUUACAAUAUUGUAUUUUGGAUGAUUGGCUCGGCAUACUCUAAGUUUAAAUCCUAGCUCCGCCACUGUUUGCACAUUAAUGUGGCUUAUAUGUGUGGAGUCACUUAACCUAUGCACUUGGACCUCCACUCCCUUAGGUUUUAUGAACCUAAUUUGACAGCCUGCUCGUCUUUUAUUUUCUACCAAUCAGCUAGGAACGAACAUGGUGAUGUUUGCAUCUCUGCCAUCAAUGGCUUACAUGUCAUUAUGUAUCACAUUAGCAAGUCUUGUUUUGUUAUUGGCUGGGAUGACGGGGACUCUAGCUGGAAUUGAAUCAAAGUGGUAGAUCACAGGGUAUUCAUUGCCAUGUAUUUCUGCAGUUGCAUGGACUUGCAUCAAACGGACCUUCCUACUUAUGUGAUUGUCCUAUAUGAUCUCCUUUGAUUUCAUUUGCACACUGUAAUCACAUUAGCUAGAACACUCGCUUUUUGCUUCAAAUUUGAAAUUCAUAUCAUGAUGGACUAGAACGCUGAAUUUCUUGAUUGCUGAGUUACUAAUCACAUUGUGGCGCUGCCAAAGAAGCUGGACUCUUCAUUGUUGUUGCCUUGUGGGCUGCCGUGUGCAAAGAACAAGAGCGCACGGUAUUAUAAUAGCAGAGCAGAACACAGACAAGCGACAAGGAGCGGAGCAGAGCAGAGCACAGCCAGGCACAAGCAGUAGAGUAGAGCAGAGCAACCGGGAGAGGAGAGGGCACAUAUGCAGAGUAGAGCAGAGCCAAGCGCAAGCAUUCAUGCACUCAAGCAUGCAGCAGAGGUGUAGCAAGGCAAGCACAAGCAGCAGAGCAGAGGGAAGGGAAGGCUGGGAGAUGAAUAGGCGAAUAGUUACCUGGACAGAGCAGAGGGAAUGGAGAUGAUGCAGAUGCUUCCGGAGACUCGAGAUUUGGAGAGGAACAAGGCCACGUUGUGAACAAGGUCUCCUUUCUCUUCUCUAUUUCCCGCGCAAGUACUUGUGCAUAGUGGCUGCCUCAUCCUCCAGGACGUCCACUUCAACCUGAGGCGGGUGCCACAGACAUCCUGGCUAUGCGACGGCUACCCCCAGCACACCCCCGGCGCCUAUGAACCAUGAUCCUAAUACUAUAAAUUGUCAACCUUGUAAUCUUAUUUCAAGCAUGCUCUCUAUGUCAACCUGUAAGGUUAACUUCGUUUUUCCUUUUCUGGGUAGGGGAGUGGAUAUUGCUGUUAUUUAUAUUAUGUUGAUAUUGGUUUCCACAUGUCAUUCACCCCAAAUGUGUUGCAAGGUUGAACCUAUCAUCGGAGGAAUUUUUUUCCCUUUACCUUUAUAUCACUACGCUCUGGUUAUGUAUGAAACACUUGUCUUCUUAAAAACCUUAAUUUAGAAACAAAUUUGAAACACUAUCUUCAUUUACAUCCUGUAUGUGUUUUCUACCUUUUGUCCUAUAUGAUCUGCUUUGAUUUGAUUUGUGCAUAGUUUUUUCAAUUCAGACCUGGUGAUUUCUGAGGUUCAUGUUGUGCUGAUAAGCAGCCUACUAUUCAGUAACACUUUCAUGUGGCAUGUUCAUGUUAGCUAGCUAGAAACACUGCUUUUAGCUUCAAAAUUCAAAUUCAUGACAUGAUGGACAUUGACAAUGAAUUUCUUGAUUGCCGAGCUAUGUACACUGUAAUUCAGACCUGGUGCUUUUAGUUUUUUUCUUGAUUGCCGAGCUAGAAACACUGUGCUUUUAGUUUUUUCAAUUCAGACCUGGUGAUUUCGGUUUUUUCAAUUCAGACCUGGUGAUUUCUGAGGUUCACGUGUCACACCGAUUUUAAGAACAAAAUCGAGUGCAUUAAAUAUACAUGUACGCUAGGAUCAGGUUACACACAUGUACGACAUAAGCGAAUAUCAAAGACAAUGCCAUAACGAAAUAAAGAGAGUAUUAAUCAUUAUUACAUGACCGAAAGUCUCAAAUAAACCACAAAAUCUAUUUAUUACAUAGCGGAACUUCUAAGAUAGCAACGUCUCCACAGGCAGCUGACUGAAGAACUGUAUGCCUAGAACUCUUCAAAAUCGUGCAGGUACUCCUCCAGAUUAGCUUGGUAUGAACAACGGUUUUGCAAGGGUGAGUACACUUAUGGUUGGUACUUAAUAAGUCGUGGGAAACAAUGUAGUGUAAGGCAAAUCAAGGUAUGGCUAAGGCUUAAACAGCAUCAGCUUUUAAUUUAGUUGGUCAAAUUUUAUUAGCAAUUAAUUAGACGUAAAUUUAUACCACCCGAAAUUAAACAAGAACAUGAAUAAAAUAAUAACAUAACCAUAAAUGAAAUGACAACAAUUUAAAUCCAUCUUUUCAUAGCAUUAUCAUGUGAGGGUCCAGUCCGUUCUUAACCGUGAGCACCGCUGAUCGAUCAGUUUUACACUCUGCAGAGGUUGUACAUCUUUACCCACAAGUCGCGUAAAAGUUCAAAAGAAUUUUGGACCCAACCAUGCGGUAUUUGCAAGGCACCAUACCACACUUCCAAGGUGUGAUUGCAUAUGAACGCUACGAGGCCUUUACAAAGAUUCAUUAGUAAGUGGUAACCCGCUAAGGUUUCGGUAUUUGGCGUGCACAACCUAUCACAGGCCGCUAAUGCAACGACUCAGUCCCCCCUCUUGCCUCAUCACGAGUAAGAUUACCCCAGACUAAGGUUUCUAAUUAUUCAGCCAAGAUCAGAACCAUUUAGUCUUGUGGUAGCACUGUUUUCCUGGGUGGUUCUCCAUGUUCCGAUUAAACAUAAUGGUCUUGUAUUAAUGGAAGGUAUAACAUAAAUAAUACCAAAUUAAUAAUAAUUCAGAUUAAAUCACCAUAACCAUAUUUGAGCACUAAGCAUGAGCUACCCAACAUAAAUUUAACCCGGUUGGUCAAGGCAAGGUAGAUAAAGUCUAGGAAAUUCUUAAUUGGGACCCAUCAAGUUUAAAUUAUACUUUGCAUGGUAUGUUGCAUAGAACAUGAAAGUAAAUGUGAAUAGGACUGAAAAGGAGUGAUUAGGGACACGACUUGCCUUUUUAACCUUGUUCUUGCUGUUCGUACUCUUCGAAAACUUUGAUCUUCAAAUCCCUUGAACUGCUGACCGUCUACACGCGUCACACGACCACAUACAAGCAAACAAAUAUAAUACAUAAGAAAACAGUACACCAAUCAUAAUUAAAUAGAAGAAACAAAUUUGAAAAGCUAUUCUACGCAUUAAAACGAAAACACGGAUACAAGGAACGUUAAAAACGGAGCUACAGUGCAAAAACUACGCUUAAAACAAGAUGCAGGGGUAUAACUACGAGAAACCAAACUUCCAGGGAUUUAAUUUUAAAUAAUUUUGAACUGCAGAAGGGGCAGCAGGGCAAAACGUAGAAAAUGCAGGGGCUUAAGCGCAAAAGCAUGGCUGCUGACUCAGCUGACUUGAUGUGGAUCGUCGGAUGGCGAUCCGGCGGCCGGCAGCUGCUGCGCUGACGUCAGCGACGGCGAGCGCCGGCGAAAAACGGCAGUUCGCCGGAAUCGCCCGGGAACGCGCGACUGGGUGCAGAUUUGAGCGAGGAUUAGACUAGCAGAUAGAAACGAGCGCAGUGAACUCAUUUGGGAUGCCUACGGCGAGGACUUGGCGACGGCAUCGGCUCCGGCGAGAACUUGCGGCAGGGAAACCAAAUAAAAUAAAAUAACACGGUUCAGAGAAGCGGCGCUGGAGGAACGCGAGCGAUUUUGCGUGCGAGCGGAAGAAAACACUGCGAGGAAGAUGACUGCGGGCCCUGCUUGUCUGCGGCAGGAGGAGAGCUGCGUGCGAGAAGAACCUGGCCACGAUCUGGGCCGUUGCCUUCGAUCUGGGCCGAGGCAAGCUAGCUGGCCCGCUGCUGCGGAAAGGUGCUGGGCCACGGGCGGAGCACAGCGUCGGGCCAGAAAGGAGAUGGCUGCUGCGAGGAAACAAAAGAAAAUGAACUGGGCUGCGACAGAGGAAAACUGGGCGUCGGCCAGAAAGAAGCUGCGUGCAGCUUGCUCUUGUUUCCGAACUAGAAACAGGAACUGACGGAAAGACAGAAAUCAAUUGGAGACUGAAACUGACGCCCCAGACUCUGAACUUCGAAAAAACAGGACAACCAGCCAACUGACAGAAAAAAAAAAGCUUAACAACCCAAAAGCAGUACACAACCACGAAACCAGGCCACAAGACUGAAAAAGCUUGAUAGGAACAUCUGGCGACUGAACCAAAAAACUACAGAACUGCAACUGAAGAACUAGAGAACAGAUAAAUAACUGAUUGAACUCUGAAACUGAAACACCAAAGAGCAGGAAGCUGACUGACGGAAAAUGCAAAACAGCAACCCAAGGUGAAACACAAAUUCUUCUUCAAGCAUUCAAACAAAGAGAUAUGCAACAGCAUGAAUGCUCAAUAAAAUCCUAUAUUUCAUUAAUUAAUUAGAAAAAAUGCUCAAAUGCCUAGAAAAAUGCAAAAGUGACCUUAUAUGCCUUAAACAAGCAAAUUCGUUUCUAGCGAUUUUUGGUAAAAUGCAAAAUUAGAGAUUUUGGGUGUUACAUCAUGUUGUGCUGAUAAGCAGCCUACUAUUCAGUAACACUUUCAUGUGGCAUGUUCAUGUUAGCUAGCUAGAAACACUGUGCUUUUAGCUUCAAAAUUAAAUUCAUGACAUGAUGGACAUUGACAAUGAAUUUCUUGAUUGCCGAGCUAUGUACACUGUAAUCACAUUGUGGGGCUGAUAAAAUAAGCAGCGUUGAGACACAUAACAAUUGAAUCUUAAGCUUCACACAGAAUCUGGACCAGUCAUCCUCAUUCCUGUCAUGCUGGAAAUGUCUUUGAUACAUUUCAAUCACAGGCAAUUGAAUUCGUACUGGGGAGGAUGGCAAUGGUGCAUGAAGAGAGAUCAAUGUGGCAAAUCUCACAUUGUUCAUUACCAGGUAUCUCCGAUUUCUGGUUAUUUUAAAUUUACCUUGACAUGUGACUUAUUGAGGUAUUGUAUUUCAUCUAAUGGUAGUUCUGAAUUUAUGGUAACCUUGGAUGGGGUUUGUCACUUUAUACACGCACGGACUUACAAAGGACAGCAAAUGAGUAUAUUUAGAGGGCUCCUGUCCAACCAUGGACUAUACUUAUGUACCCUUUUUUGACAUGGUAAUUUGAGGUUAAUGGAAAAGUAGCGAUAGUCGCCUCCAGCGAAGCUACCUUCUUCGAAAGCUCCGAGGCUGCUUUCUCGCUCUUAGCAAGCCGAUCCCUCGUAAUCAUCGAAGAGUAAGAGACCUACAGAUUUUAAAAACCAAGUUACCAAAAAUAACGAAGUAAAAGACAACACUCGCAAGACAAACCACCAAACUAUCUCAUAAUUGUACCUUCUUUACGAGGUUCGCCUCCAAGUUAAAGAGCUCUUCCAAGAUCAUUGACUUCACAGCUUGCUGAAAAUCUAUGCGCCAAAGGAUAUAGUCGUAAGCAUAAAAUAAAAAUUGGUAAAAACCAAGGACAGCAAAGCCAUCUACAAGCUGUUCUUACCCUCAUACUUUCGCACCUCAACGGCGAUCGGAACAACCUUCUCUCUAGCCUCGCCCUUAGACGCCACCACAAUCUUCCCGCCACACAAAUCCACAACCCCUCCUUUACCUUUGCCCUCUCCCGAAGUCGUCGUGCCCGCCUUCUCCACCCUUUUUGAACCGCCAACAUCUGCAUAGCGCUCGCAACCUUCACCUUCAGCCCCCCAGACCAAAGACAGGUUGUGAGGAUUAUAAACCCUACCUUCGGCGCAUGUAGCUAGAAUCUCCGUGCGCCCGCUCAAGCCCAGACACUCAUUCAGUCCCUGAAGCCCCGCCGGCAACCUCUCACCUACAUCAUAACAUUCAACUUUUAGCCUCACAUGAUCCUCACAACUAACCUUACCAACGCCCCCCAUAGUUUCUUCCAAGUCCUUCAAAAAUUUCGUUGAGGCCUCACCACAAUCAAAGAACCGUAGCAUCGAUAGAAACACCUCUACAUGCUUACCAGAUCUCACAGCUUCGGCACACCCACCCUUUGGAUCAGAUGAGAACGCAUCCACAAGCUUCGCCUUUUCGGUGGCAAACCCCCUCUCAAGUUUCCCAACAUCAGUCAAGAGAUGUUGCGCGCUCUUAAACUUCGAGCUUAUGGAAGGCACCGUGAUCUUGGUACCAGCUGCCGAAGACGCGUCAACCUUGGCACCCGUAACAGUAACAGGAGCAAAUCGAGGUUUCUUGGCGCCUCUUUUGAUCCGUGCGGCGGGCCCGGUGGAUGAAGGUGCAAGAGCUGGAACCUCCUUAGGAGGGCGCAUAGAGACAGGAACAACAUAUGCCGGAUUGCUCAAGUCGCCAGACGAAGCUGUCGACCACGAUGGCAACAUAGCAGACGAAGCCCCCGCGGUCAUUUCCUUCCUUUUUUGCGCCUCCAAAUUCAAGGUCUUUUGCUUCGCCUUAGCGGUCACUUGCAAUUCAAUAGUGAGCUUCACCAUGGGUACGAAGUCAAAUUUUGCCUUUUUCCUCUGCUCAAGACUAGCACCGCGACGGCGCCUCUUGCCCGUAACUUUGGGGUGAGGCAGAACCACAAUAUCAUACAAGUCAAAAAUCUAAGAUGAUGACAUUCCAUUUGUAUCCAUGAUUUAUAUUGUGUUCCUUGAAUAUCCAUUAAAGUCUACUUGAAUUGAUUUGCAAUUAUGUGAAUUGUAUGUGAAACUCUUUCCUUGUAUGGUUAUUCUAAAGUUGUCCCUAGUCGGAGUUCAUGUGAGGACACAUGAAUAUUAGACUAGCACAUGUAUUAGUUGAUGACUAUGUUUCACAAGUCAUGGACAUGAAGAUGUGGAACUAAUAAUGUGGGCACAUGUGGAGACACGUGCUAGGACUGACCCAACACGAGAAGUAGUUCUCUCUUUAUACAACAUAUACGCUUUGUCCUUAGACCUGAGAUUGUCGCAUGUACUCAAGAUGUGGAUCGACUUACUUAGGGGCUAUCAAAUUCUACGCCGUAACAGGGUAGUUAUAAAGGUAGCUUUCGGGUUUGUCAAGAAGCAUGCUAUGAGACAUGGUCAAUCAAGAUGGGAUUUGCCCCUCUCUGAUUGAGAGUGAUAUCUCUGGGCCCCUCGAGUGAUCGGAUCCGAAAAUGCAUGGCCAUGCUACAUACGAUUAAGAGUUAGCCUACAAAAGGAUUCCGAAUCAUAGGAUCGAGAAAGAGCGGUCGGCUUGAAGCUAGACCAAAUAUCGUGAGGCAAAGGGAAUAGCAUGUAUAUAAUGUUGUGAUGGUUCGUCUGAUAUGAUCUUCGUGUGCGUAUAGGAGUUGGCACGUCUUGCUAGAGGUCGCUACCGACUAUUGGGCCGAGUAGGAGUACUCAGGCCAUGUCUAUACGUAUCCGAACCCAUAGGGUCACACACUUAAGGGGCUGGAAGCCCAAUUCGGAUGUGAUCCGAAUUGGAUUAGGUUUAGAAGUACUAAUGGGCCUUGGACCUAGAGGCCCGUUAGGAACCUCUAUAAAUAGAGGGGUGGGGGCGCCCUAGGGUUUACACCUUUUUGGUGAAACACAUCUGCCGCGCCUCCCACGCCUUCGCCUGUUGCAACUCGCGGACCUAGCAGUCCGGCUUGCGACGCUUCCUCCCUGCACGUGUGGAUACCUUGGAAGUGUUGCUCCUGCAGCACUUGGACGAGCCGCCAACGAGCCACGACGAGCCACGAUGAGCCGACGAUGAGCCGCGGCACGAGGGGGAUCUUGCUGCACGUGGACGAGCUGCUGAGGAGCUGCUGGACGUCGAUGUGUUCGACUACGUACGACUACGCUGAUCGACUUCGCUGCAUCAACGCGAAUCUACAUCUUCCGCAUCAUUGCAUCGAGUGGUAAUCCCGUGAUCCUGAUACGGCAGUUUUCCUAGUUUACGCGGUAGAAAAUUUUGUUUUGUGCUAGUGUAGCCUAACUCAUAUCCCAACAACGUGUGCUAUAGGUCACGCAAGCCUGAAAAUGGCCACACCGGACACCGGGUACGAAAACAUGGGGGAUGGACCGAACAUUUGAAAAUGGCCUCCAUAUGUGUUUUCGGCUAUGAAAAUGUGUGUUAUAGGUCACAGAAGCUUGAAAACGGCCGCACCAGCCACUAGGGACGAAAACGUGGGGGAUGGACCAAAGACAUAAAAAAUAGCCUCCAGACGCGUGUUCGGCCAUGAAAACGUGUGGUAUAGGUCCUGGAAGGCCAAAAACAGCUACACCGGCCACCUGGGACGAAAAAGUUUGUGUAAGACCGAACACUUGAAAAUAGCCUCUGGACGCGUGUUCGGCUAUGAAAAGGUGUGUUAUAGGUCACACGAGCCCCAAAACAACCACAGCGAACACCAGCUACAAAAACAUGGGGGAUGGAUCGAAUAAUUGAAAAUGGCCUCCAGACGUUUGUUCGGCCAUGAAAUCGUGCGUUAUAGGUCGCGGGAGCCCGAAAACGGCCACACCGGCCACCGGGAAUGAAAAUGUGGGGGAUGGACCGAACAAUUAAAAAUGGCCUCCGGAUGUGUGUUCGGCCAUGAAAACGUAUGUUAUAGGUCACGGGAGCAUGAAAACGGCCGCACUGGCCACUGGGGACGAAACGUGGGGGAUGGACCGAAGACGUGAAAAUAGCCUCCAGACGCAUGUUCGGCCAUGAAAAUGUGUGCUAUAGGUCAUGCAAGGCCAAAAACAGCUGCACCAGCAACCGGGGACGAAACCAUGGCUGUCAAACCGAACGCUUGAAAAUCGCCUUCGGACGCGUGUUCGGAUAUGAAAACAUGUGUUGUAGGUCACGCGUGCCCGAAAACGUCCACAACGGACACCGGGUACAAAAACGUGGGGGAUGGAUCGAAUAACUGAAAAUGACCUCCGAACGCGUGUUCGGCCAUGAAAACGUGUGUUAUAGGUUGCGGGAGCCCAAAAAUGGCCACACCGGCCACCGAGGAUCAAAACGUGGGGGAUUGACCGAACAAUUAAAAAUGGCCUCCGAUUGUAUGUUCGGCCAUGAAAACGUGUGUUAUAGGUCAUGGGGGCCCAAAAAUGGCCGCACCAGCCACCAAGGACGAAAAUAUGGGAGAUGGACCAAAGACAUGAAAAUGGCCUCCAGAUGCAUGUUUGGACAAAAGUGUGUGCUAUAUGUCGUGCAAGGCCAAAAACAGCUACACCAGCCACCGGGACAAAAACGUGGGUGUUUGACUAAACAAGUGAAAAUGGCCUCCGGAAGCAUGUACGGCUAUGAAAAUGUGUGCUAUAGGUAAUGGAAGGCUAACAAAAGCUACACCGGCCACCGGGGACAAAAUCAUGGGUGUCAGACUGAACACUUCAAAAUGGCCUCCGGACGCGUGUCCGGCUAUCAAAACGUGUGUUAUAGGUCAUGCGAGCCCGAAAACAACCACACUGAACACCGGGUACAGAAACAUGGGGGAUGGACUGAAUAACUGAAAAUGGCCUCUAGACGCGUGUUCGGUCAUGAAAACAUGUGUUGUAGGAUGCGGGAGCCCGAAAACGGCCACACCGGCCACCAGGGCAUGGACCAAACAAUUGAAAAUGGCCUCCGGAUGUGUGUUCGGCCAUGAAAACGUGUGUUAUAGGUCACGGGAGCCCAAAAAUAGCCGCACCGACCACUGGGGAUGAAAUCGUGGGGGAUGGACCGAAGAUGUGAAAAUGGCCUCCAGAUGCGUGUUCGGCCAUGAAAACGUGCGCUAUAAGUCAUGUAAGGCUAAAAAUUGCUACACCGGGACUAAAGCAUCCCCCAUGAGUUACAAUAAAAGGAUUGUAUCCUCUACUCAGUCGGAUGUACUGUGUAGGUGAGAUGGUAAGGAAGCUAUGCGCGAGGUUUGAGGUUGUGGGUUGAAAUCCUACGCACCGCGCGCACACGCGCAUAUUUUGUGUGAAAAAUCAUGUGACUUGUGAUCGGCCAAGGAGAAGUGGGUGCAGCUGUGGCUUAAGUGGCUGAGGCACGCUGCCAUAGACAUCUCCGAUUUGCUCGAAGACUACCAAGACACUAGCAAUAACAAGAACUACUGCUCUUCCUAGCAGACUCUUUACAACCACUUUAAAGCUGUGCAUUUCUCAAUGUAAUUUCGUAGAAGGCAAUCGAUCCAACCAAGCGACUAAAUCAUUUGUUCUUGCCAAUGAUGUACAUCAGGUUUUCUAUAUGAAGGACAUGUCUAGCAAACCUAAGAUUUUAGAAGAAAAAGAAAAAUUAUGGGAGUCAAUAAUAAAUCAGGCCAAUCAGGAGAUUAUAGUAAGCUCGAUGGUAUGCCUCCAUUCGAUGUCGAAGUUGGCCCAAGCAUCAUGUUAGCCAAAGAUCAAAUGUUCGUGCAUUGCUACGGUAAAGAUCAAUUGUGUCUUUUAAACCCAUGGAAUUUUUUAUCUAUGUUUUUAUUACACUUAAUGGAUGUCUACACAUUUGCUAGAAAAUCAAAAUAAUUUUGACUUAAUUAUUUCUUUCAACUCAAAUACUCAUUAAAUUUCUACCUUUUUAUUUAAGCAAGAGAGUUGCUCAAAAAAUGGAUACGUAACCAUGUUGUAUCAUACAAAGCAACCACAUUUCACAUAUAGUCUGGCUUAGCAAACACCAUUGUUGUCUUAACAUAGUGUUCAUGAGUUAGUAGACAUGGAUCUAUUUCUAAUUGCAAGUAGUGCAGCGUACAACCAGCCUGCACCGCCGCAGCUCAAUAUGCGAUAAUUUUUUAUCUUCCCAUGUAAUUUUUCUACUCUAGUACAUAUUGAACUCCACAUAAAUGUCAUGUUCUUUCACGCCACAGACGGUUUCUAAAGUUUGGAACUAAAUAGAUAGCCAAAAAUUUUAAAAAAAUAUUUAUAUGGAUACAUGUAUGUUCUUUGCAAACUAACAAUAUUGUUUACAAUAUCAAAAGGAAUAUGGCUAUGAUCAUUGCCGCAUAUGGCAGGUGAUGGUAGAUGCCGUAUGGGGUUUCUUUAACUUAAUUGUAUAAUAAGCUGAAAUACAUUUUCUAUUUGCAAAUGAAUCAUAGCUGAAAGUGGUGGGAUUGUAGAACCGCCGGCCAUCGUGUCCUUGUAGGACCGCUGCACGAGCCUGUGAGCCACCAGCCACCAUGCGCCCAAGGGCCAUCACCACGCCAUAAGAGGAUGCUGUCUACCCGGUUUCGCGCGCCUGUGCUAGCUGCCUGAACCUGGGCCGCCGCCGGUCGCCUGCCCAGCCGCGCGUUGCGCCAGGGUUUUGCUGGUGACGACCAUGGCCUUCGCGAUCAAAUUAAAAAGUUAUCAACUGCAAAGUAUUAGGUCUCGUUGAGCUCUACAAUUUUGAUAUAAAGUUUCUAUUCAUCCGAGAUCAAAUAAAAAAUUUGAUACUCAAAGCAUAAAUCCAUUAAUCUAGUCUUGCUAAUCCUUACCACCAAAUAAAAAACUAGCAUGUGUUGUGUGUUUGUGACCCUAAACGAUCACAAAUGAAUAACUUAUGGGCCUUGCUAGCGCCCGGAUGUCCAGGCCGGGGCACUAGCAUCAGACCCACGAGUAGCCGUCCGAUCAGGUUCGACACCACUUCAGGAUCUGGCUUAAAAAGAAGUCCCACCGAAACAUUGUUCCAUGUUGCAUGAAGCAACCCACUACCGUCGCCAGGUCUAGAGCAAGCACCACCUUCAAAUGUGCUGCUCACCCUAGCUAAAUAGGGGCAUUAAAAUAUUUCUCGCAUAUCCUUCUCAAAUUAAACAAAAUCGCAACAUCUGAAAAUUUUUACAGAAAACCAUGAAACAUAUCGAUUAGAUAGAUGUAACAAGAUGGAAUAUGGUAUAUGCAACAUAUAGGUUCCGAAAAGCAGAUGAAAUAUUAUGUAAUGAUUCUUGAAACAGUCAAGAAAAAUAGAUGUAACAUCUAAAAUUAAGAAAAGAAGCUUUAUGCAAAUUGCAAAAAGCUGAAACAAGUGGUUGAAACAUUUCAAAUCACCAAAUGCCACAUUUGAAAUGACCAGAUGAAACAUCACGAAAUCAAUUGCAACAGUUGAAGAUGAAAACAUUCAAAUGCCUUGCCUUUCUCCAAAUUUGACCCUCCAAGCAUGAGUCCAGCCAUUUGCACAUUAGACCCUUGGGAGGAGCUCACCGGAGAACAACAAGACCGUGUUAUCCAACAAUUUUCAGAUCAAAUUGCAACAUAAAGAACAAAGCAUUGCAACAUCUGGCAUCACGAGCUACAACAGCAACCAGUUAGGAUCAGGAGAAAGAGGGCAAACACAAGCCUAACAAUGAGUUAUAUCCGGUUUAAACAAGGAUAAAAAUGAGUGUAUUUUACACUCAUCAUGUUGUCUUUUCGCAGCUGUACCGCCUUUAGCGUGUUGUAUUGUUCCUAACACCAAGUCUCCGAGGCCCGAAAAAAUAAGGAAAGUGGUAGCAGCUCAGAAAUCGACUAAGUUUCUUUCCCCCUUUGGCUUUCCUACUAGGAUUCGGAAUCCUCUUUCGUAUGACAAUCUUAAUGAUCUCCCAUAGUCCAAAACUCACAAAAACAUCAAAAAUCCACCGAGAAUAAAUUAAGUAAAAAAACAUGCACACACAGAUAAUAAUAGUAAUCAUGUUUCAUUAUGAUUGCUAAGGUCAGACACAAUACAUAAACAUAUUAGACUGAGUGACCCACCUCACCUCAGAGUAUGCACCAUGUCUGAGUGACCCACCUCACCUUGCCAGGACACUGGUCCUGCCCUCGUGGUUCACGCGCCCUCGUGGUUCAGCAGUGGUCAGUACACAAAUCUAGCUGCCAGUCGGAUCCAAGGGCAGGCAUUUGCAUUGUGGUUGUGUUUGAACAUGGAGAUGUCAUUAUUAUUGUCAGGCACCAUACAUCCUCUCUCAGUUUCACUCCGCCUCACACACGGAUAGCACACCAGGGACCCGACACCAUGCAUGCCGAUUUCAUAUUAUUAAUAUUUAAUUUUUUUAAUGGUUGUUGAAACUAUAUUGUUGAUAUUUUUAUACAUAAUUUACGACCUAAUUUGGAUAUAUUUUUGAAAUAUUCCGAAAUCUUAAAUUCACACGUCUAGAGAUACAGUUAGUCCAAUCUGAUGUUUCCGAUUAUAAAAAUGAACAUAAAGAGAUAGGAAGCGAGAGACGUGAGGGGGAAAGUUAAAUUAGGGCCUAAGGGGUGAAGUUAGGGUUCCAGGUGAGCUGUCAUCACUACGUGUUUUUAAUCGAAAUUGGAAUGUCAGCAAUCGUCAGAUCUUGAGCCAACAGUUGAGACUGCCUCGGAAUGGUAAUUAGGUCUGCGCGAGCUUGCAUUGUGGCCUUCCUUGAAACCUUGGACAUAGGUGUUAUAUUAUUAUGUUCUUGCCAGCACACAGCAGUGAAGGACGACACAGUUGAGAUGUGCAUCACAUUUUCUAUAUGAAGGAUAUGUUUAGCAAACCUAAGAUUUUAGAAUAAAAAGAAAAAUCAUGGGAGCCAAAGCGCCACAUAGUUCUUCCAGGUAAAAAAAAAUCAUCCACUGGACCAGCACAUAGUAACGAUCCAAAAAGUCCAUAUUAAGAUUUUUUGAUAGCAGAAAAAACAUAAAAUGUCUAAUAUUUGUAGUAUUAAAAGGAAAAAUAAUAUAUUCACGUGACCUUUUUCCCGUAGCAAGGCACCGGUACGUGGUCAGACUUAAUGCACGAUGCCUAAGCAUCCAUUGGGCCUACCCUCGUGUGGAUCACGCGCAACAGGACACGGCUCACAAGCUAUGAUGUGCAGCAGUCGCUCAGAUGGCUGAAAGGUACCCUUAAUUUGAAUGGUACCAUAUAUAUAUAUAUAUAUAUAUAUAUAGUAAACAAGACAAACCACCGUUGAUACUACUUUGCACUACUUGAUACAUAUAUCUCCACCAAAAGCGAGGCACGUGGGGAGGAGAGAUAUGUGGUUGAUGGUGCGGGCACGUGGCGAGUGCACCGUACGAAAAUUUUGCUCGUGUCGGACGACUGAUGUGAAGCAUUACCCAAUCUUAAUUAUCUCCCAUAAUCCAAAACUCACAAAAACAUCAAAAAUCCGCCGAGAAUAAAUUAAGUAAACCAUGCACACACAGAUAAUAAAAUUGCUAAUAAGGCCAGAGACAAUACAUAAACAUAUUAGACUGUUCAUGACACAUAUCACGGUGGAUAGUGUCUGUGUCCUUAUUACAAGCAAUGAGAGAUGCUUGUCACCACACACACGCGCACAGAUGCACAACAUACAUAUAGUUGAGACCAACAGAUGGAUCAACUAGAGGUCACCCCAUAUGGUGAACAAUUUAUUGGAGAUAAACAUUAACAUAACUUGGCCAUAGCUUGAAGCAUAGCAACAUAUGCCUAUGAACGGCGUUCAUGCUAUCAUUUUAGGCUUGUCCGCUUCUUCCAUCUUAGCAAGCACUUCCAUUUCUACCAUCUUAGAAGCAACUGUCAAAUUGAGAUAUGGAAAUCCCAUUAGCGCAUGAGUUAAUUUUGCAGUGAAAAUAGAGUACAAGAUAUCUUCAUGAUGUAAGUAACAUGCCUGAAGUUGUGAGAUGGGAAGUGAAGUCAACAAAUUACAUUAACGGAAAUGCAUGGAAGGCCACACAUACGUAUUAGUCCAUGAUAUGCUACAAAGCUUGUAUGUACAUAUAGCAAAUUAAAUGCAUUAAUUGAAUAGAGUGAGUUUAGUGAAUUUACCAGAAUCGUCCAGAAAACAUGGGAAACAGCAAGUGUUCUUGCAGACUGCGUCGGUGCCACCCACAGCAAUACAACCAAAACAACAUGCUUUUGCCCGAGCGGCUGCGCAGCAGCCGCACUCUGCCGCGGUGGCCGAGUUAGCAUUGAGGCUCAAGAUGACCAGGCACAUGAUCACCAUCAAAGCGGUGGUAGUCCUCUUUCCCUCCAUUGCCUCCUCUUGCUGCUACCUUCCUUGGUUACCUAGCUAAGUUUAUUGGUUUUGUGUUGAGAGGUGAUUCUUGCAUUGAAUGGACGUUGCCGCGGCUGCAAUUUAUAGGCAGCUGCGCUAUGUGAUGAUAUGGACAAGGUGCAAAUGGGUGGUCCUGAUAUGGAUAAGGUGCAUGCGAAUGGCUGUCUACUUGUAUAGUGGCGCUCCAAUGUACAUACGUAUGUAUCUUAUGCAUGUAUACAGUUGAUGGAUGUACAUGUUUGUUGCACAAAUUAUUCUGAACCAACUCUUCAUAACAGGUCUUUGUUACCAAGUAAUUUUACUUUUGCACGUUUCAGCCGAGAGGCAGAAGAGAAUAUUUUACAGAGAGGGCAGAGAAGGAGGUUGGCGGAGGCGCCGUGGUAGGGUUCCCCGUGUCGCCAAGAUUUUUGCAUUUUAGAUGUGUGUAUUGAUCACUUCGUCGUGCUCGCGGGGCCCAACUCCAGGUUGUACCCCAGCAGACCACGUUCUGUUUCUCUGCCUCCAAUGAGCAUGCAUGCCUCCACAAGGACCACAAGACUUAGUAAAAAAGCUAAACUUUGCAACACGAUGUAUACAGAACGUUUUGAAAUGUACUCUCGUUAGGCAUUCACCUCCUUAACAAUCACUGCGACUGUAAAAGAGGUACAUCGACGCUAGCUAAAUAAACCACUAUAAGAUUUAGCAAGAGAUCAUUUUAUACAAUCCUGUAACGAAACAAUUUGACAAUUAUAGUGUCCAUAUAUUUUGACAAAAAAACGUUUAAAUUAUAUAAGGAGGUGGGCCCGAAAACGGUUGGAUUACAUCGAGAACGUUUUGAAACAGUUGGCGGAGCAGGAUUCUGGCGUGGAGCAUCUACAUUGUCGCGCGCGCGGACUGCCGGAGUAGGCACGCUCGACUUGUCCCAUCGCCAGCUAAAUGAUUUAGUACCGGAUGGUCUCUAGUACCGGUUGGAGCUACCGUCCACCAGGAGCUUUUCUAGUUUGGAACUGGUACUAAUGCUAAUAUUAGUAUCAGGUCAAAAACAAUCGGUACUAAGGCUAGGGAUGACACGUCAUUUUUCUAGUAGUGUGUGCAAUUGGUUUUGUAAUUAGUCUAUAUUUAAUACUUCUAAUUAGUAUCUACACAUUUUAUGUGACAGGGACUGAACUUUAGUCCGUGGAACCAAACACCCCAUAAGUAUGUUUGGUGCUGUAAGGAUUUCGGUUUUAUUUAAUUUCCUAGGCAUUUAAAUUUCUUUCUAAAAUAAGUUAAUGAAUCAUAGGAUCUCAUUGUUGUAUUCAAGCUGGUGCAUUGAUUUUGCCUAUAAAACCCGCCGCGGUCUUCGCAGCCCCCAUCAAACCCUAGCGCCCUUGCCACAAGCUCAGCACCGCUGCCGCCCGAGCUCGAGCACUAGCACCCACCCAUCGCCGUUGCCUUCCCGUCGAUGGGAUCACCGCCCGGAGCUUCGCAUCGUGGUAAGGAAGCCGCCCGUGAAGAUCCCAUGUGCUCCUAUGCCCUCUACCGCGUCCCCGAGUUCCCGGAGUUGCUAGUCUCCCACCGAGCCGACUCUCCGAGCUUCACGUCACUGGUGCCGCUCCGAAGACCUAGUUCGGUUCGCCAUGCACCUCGCUUCAUCCUGAGCUAAACCCCAUAAUGAAUGGUGGUCGGAUGCUCGCCGCCACGGCGCGUCGUCUUUUCUGUCGCCCGUGCAUUGCCUAUCCCCUUCCAGCCGAUUGCAGCUGUCCGAUCGCAAACCGGUGGCCCUGAUCGGAUACCAAGGUCAAUACCGGUCGAACCGAGCCGUGCGCUGCUUUUGCAAGAAGGCCCCUGUUUUUCUCUCUUUUUGCACCUGAGGUCCUACGCAGUUCAAAAGUAAUAAGAUCUAGGUCCUUUUUCUUUUGUUUUAGCCCGUGUUCUUUUAUAAAAUCCCGCCCACUAUUCUGUUUGGUCUUUUGACGCGUUAGACCUUCUUUUUAUAUGUUUAAUUAGGUUUUAGGUCUCGAUUUCUUUAAGUUUAGCCCUUGAAAGUUUAGUUCUCUCGCAGUUAAGCCCCUGAACCUUGUUUAGCUCAUAUCUUAAGCGUUUUAAAUCCGUUUUAACAGAUUCUUGCGCCUAUAAGUUCAUGUUGACGCAUAGAUUAGUUGACUUAUACGAACCUUGCUGAUUCAGCUCCUUGAUUGUGCUUCAGAUCUCGCUAGGGAAGAAUAAUGGAUGGGCUUUGGUUGAGCUUGUAGAUCGACUUGCAGUUGCAGUGAAUGAGCAGAGGAUUGGCAGUGAAUAAGAUCAGGCCGCUGCCCUGCUUGGUAGGGAAAAUAUCUGCUUGCUACCAAGGCCUGUGACGCAUGGACCCCAUUGAGAGUGCAUUAUUGACAAGGACUUAAAGCCAAGGGCUCCACACCUGUCAUUGAUCAGCUGUCUGCUGGGCGCUGCAAGGAGGUAGUGCAUGUUUGACAUAAAGAAGCAGGUGGCCCAGGAUUUACGAAAAAUAAGGAUCUAUUUGAUACCCUUGCUUAUAUUUAGGGGCUAAAAGUUGCUUAUUUGAAGUUGCUUAUUUUUAAUCCUAGCUGUUUGAUUGCAUGGGCUAAAGAGCAUUGAAUGAGGUGGAUAUUGUCAUGUUUGCCUCUAAUGAUUGCUUCCCAUCACAUUUCUCCCCCCUCAUUCAACGAGGGAAGGAGGUGUAAAGUGCACCUUUUAGCCCCGAUAAGUAACCCUUGUGUUGUUUACGGGCUGAACAUAAGUAGCUAAAGUUUAGCUCCAAUAAACAAGAGUGUUUGGUAUUUUUGGGGUUAAAAGGGGCUAAACUUUAGCUGCUUAUGCAUAAGCAAGGCCAUCCAAAUAGGCCCUAAGUAUGUUUGGCGUUGUAAGUAGGUUUUAUUUAAUUUCCUAGGCAUUUAAAUUUCUUUCUAAAAUAAGUUAAUGAAUCAUAGGAGUUCAUUGUUGCAUUCACGCUGGUGCAUUGAUUUUGCCUACAAAACCUGCUGCCGUUUCCGCAGCUCCCAUCAAACCCUAGCACCCCCGCCACGAGCUCCAGCGCCGCUGCCGCCCGAGCUUGAGCACUAGCGCACACCCAUCGCCGUCGCCUUCCUAUCAAUGGGAUCACCGCCCGGAGCCCGUGUCAUGGUAAAGAAGCCGCCCGUGAAGAUCCCGUCCACUCUCGUGCCCUCUACCGCGUCCUCGAGUUCACCGGAGUUGCCAGUCUGCCACCCAGCCGCCUCUCCGAGCUUCAUGUUGUCGUUGCCACUCUAGCUGCCUCUCUGAAGACCUAGAUCGGUUUGCCGUGCACCCCGCUUCAUCCUGAGUUAAACCCCAUCAUGCCACGUCAUAGUAAGGAAGCUGCUCAUGAAGAUCCCGUGCGCUCCCGUGCCCUCUACCGCGUCCCCAAGUUCACUGGAGUUGCUAGUCCACCACCGAGCCGCCUCUCCGAGCUUCACUUCACAGUCGCUGCUCCAGCCACCACUCUGAAGACCUAGAUCAGUUCGCUGUGCACCCCACCUCAUCCUGAGCUAAACCCCAUGACGAACUGUGGUCGGAUGCUCAUUUUCGAGUGAAUUCCGGCGAGAUGGUCGCCCGCCGCCGCCAUCUCCAUCGCCCAUGCACCGCCUGUCCCCUUCCAGCCGAUGUCCGAUUGCAAACCGAUAGCCGAAAUCGGAUGUGGUCACCAGGAUUAAUACCAGUCAAACUAAGCCACGCGUGCCGCUUUUGCAAGAAGGCCCCUAUUUUUCCCUCUUUUUGCACUUGAGGUCCUAUGCAGUUCAAAAGUAAUUAGAUCAAGGUCCUUUUUCUUAUGUUUUAGCCCUAUUCUUUCAUAAAAUCCCGGCUGCCAUCCUGUUUGAAAUAGAUACGGUUAUAGAUAUGCAAACAUCUGCAUAUUUCCAACCGUAUCUCUUUCGAACGGGAGACGCCUAACUAGGUUACGUGACAUACGAACAUCAUACGGAUAGAGAGGGGUAGGAUGUCUCACCUUGCUAUCCUACAAAGUGACGACUCGAGGACAGUAAUGUAGCCUCUCCUUCAAAAAAAGAACAUACUACUAUCAAGUUAAAUUUUUGACAGCACCUCCCCUGCACGUGGAGGUUUCCAUAACCUGCAUCAAAUAAAACGGCACGAUGGCUGACAACCACAUCUACAGCACCAGAAUGGCACGAUGGCCGACUUCCACAUAAAGUUCUUAUACCUUAGAUUGCCAAGUCAAACAUCCUUUUCUAAUUUCUAAAACAAAAGCCCUCCCACCUCUCUAUCUUAUACUUUCCUAUUUACUAAUUGCUUUUGUAAUUUCUAAUUUCUAUUUCAUCCUACCACCUCUGUACCCUUUUCUCAUUUCUAAUUCCAAUUUUCUAACUUGAAGAGCAAAGAUUGAUUACUAGGAGGGGUGAGGGACGCCGGCCUAGAGAGGCGAGGGGACGUCCGGCGGCGGCGGGUGCGUCGGGGGUAGGAUGCCAGGGGCGGCUGCAGGGGCGCCGGGUUGGGGGCGGCCGGGAUCGAGGGCACCAGUAGCGGGGGCACCGGGCCGGGGGCGGCCGGCGGGGCGGGACGCCAGGGCCGGGGCGACGGGCGCCGGUGGCGAGGCCGCCCGGCCGGUGGUGGCCGGCGUGGCGCCUGGGCCGGGGGGGGGGGGCGGGCGGGGUGCGGCGCGGCGCGCCGGGGCAGGGCGCCGAGGCUGGGUGGUGGGGUACGGGGCGGCGGGCGGGGGGUGGGGGGAGGGUCGGCGGCGGGGCGCGGGGGCGGCCAGCGGCGACGGCGGAGGGCGUCGGUGGUGUUUCGGAAGUGAUACGGAGGGGGUAGAGAGAUUCGUUUUCGCGGCUGAGUGUUCGAGUCAGAAGGCCGUGCGGCUUAAGUCAGGUGGUUUGCCGAGUGCGCGCGAUCUGGCACUCGGCAAAGUCAGAAGUUUUGCCGAGUGUCAGAUCGCGGGCACUCGGCAACUGCAGCUUUUGUCGAGUGCCCUGGAUUCGGCACUCGGCAAAGUGAAGUUUUAAUUUUUUUUAAAAAAAUUUAAUCGGAACACGGGCGUGCCAGCGGGCCCGUGACAUACUUUGCCGAGUGUGUAGCAAAAACACUCGGCAAAAUAUUAUCUUUACCGAGUGUUUUCGCUAGGCACUCGGCAAAGUACACUUAUAUUUCAUGUACACUUUUUCAAUAACGUGUUUUACUAACCUUUUUCUGAUAUACUUGGGAAAAACCUUAUCAAAUUCACUCAACAAUGGAUAUAUGGUUUUUCUACUGACAUUAUUCCAUUAUUUCAUUCAGUUAUAGCUCAAAUUGAAUUUAUAUCUAUUAAAAAUCAAUAAUUGCAUUUAAUAAAUAAAAAAUACCAAACGGAUCUGAAAAAUUUCCAAAAUUUGACAUGAACCAAUCUAUGUUGUAUGUUGCCUGUACAAAAAGCUUUGAAGUCAAACCCCAAUUCAAGUGUCACUUGGACUCCAAAUCUUAUCGGAUCCUUUCUAACUUCUAUGAAUCCUUUCGGGAGAUGAGUCGGUUUGUAAGCAUCAUAUGUCAUAAAUUGGGCGAAACCUUCUCAAUUUUUUACCACAGCCUCCACAUAUAAUAUCAUGACACCUUGACAAAUCUUGUGAUUUUCAGACUUCGUUUGCUUUUUUUAGAAUUUAACAACCAUUCAACCACAUGUUCGUGAUCGUGUUUUCUAAAAAAAUGUUCAAAAUUUCUUUUCAUUUCCUGGUUGAGACCUCAAUCCGGAUUGAAUAAUAUGAAUAUGAUUUUUUCACUGAUUUUAAUCCAUUAUUUAAAUCACUUGCAGUUAAAUUUGACUUAAAUAAACAAAUUCCUAUUAAUGCUAUCAAUUCAUUAAAAAUAGCAAACAGAGAAAAAAUAGACCAACUUUUAAGAUGGAUUACCAAAUGUCAUAUGUGGGGAGUAGAAAAAGUGUGGAGAGCAGAGGUGGAAAAAAAAGUUUUGCCUUUGCCAAGUGCCUACACAAACACUCAACAAACUUUGCGGAGUGCCUAUUGAAAACACUCAGCGAACUUCUGAGUUUGCCGAGUGUCUGGAGGGAGCACUCGGCAACCUACUUAUUUGCCGAGUGUCCGCGUCGGACACUCAGCAAAGUACUAACGGCUGGCACACUCCCCUAACGGACGGCGCACGUGCAAGCCAUGUGCUGGAGAUUUAUCGAGUGUCAAAUCGUUGCCGAGUGUCGUGUGGAUGUUUGCCGAGUGUCUUAUUUGUGACACUCGGCAAAGCUAUUGUUUGCCGAGUGUAUUAUUUAUGCCGAGUGUCUUCCAGUAUACACUCGGCAAAUGAUGUCUUUGCCGAGUGCUCGACAUAAAGCACUCGGCAAAAAUUUUACACUCGGCAACAUUCCUGUUUCCGGUAGUGAGUGACCCGGGACUAAAGACCCCCGUUGUCUCUGAUUGCUUUAUUCCGGAUGGAUUUUCAGGAGAUUUGCUCCCUACCAAUAGGGACUAAAGGCAAGUUUUCCACUUAUAGCAAACCAGUUAGCCCAUUGUUGAUGGAACGCAUCACUAGAAACAGCUCGGGAUCCACUUGUCCAAUAAUCGAGAGGGCCUAUAUAUGGACCACGUGUGCGGAUCCCUAAUUAGGAAAAAAGAAUAAUGGAGUAGGACAUCUCCAUGCUCACCUAGUAGCCGCUGCUAGCUUGUGCGUGUGGAACACGAGUGCCGGCCCAGUUGGCGCUAAGACAUCGUACGUGCAUUAAGGCUACGAUCUCUUUCUUCUAACUCAUGCUUGUGCUAUUAUACAUUAUUGCAUGAUCAUCAAGAUAAGAUCGUAUAGUGACUGAGUGAGACAUGUAUGUACUAACAUGCAUUUAAGCCUCGAACUGUGUGUUGUUACGUGAGCUGCCUCCUCACCUCGCCUCUGAAUUAUUGAACCGUUUCCAACAGUGUUGGUCUCAAAUAAAUUUGACACCAAACAGAUUUAUGAAGAAGAGAGAAUAAUACUUGGAAUUGGAAAAAGUUUAUCUCUCUUUACAAUGGAGUAGGGCUCCCUUUUAUAGUGACCCAUAAGCCACUUUACAUUUGGAAAAUGUCCUUCCUCAACCACUACAUUAAUUCCUAGGAUAUGCUGUACAUAAAGGUCAUUUGAGGUAACGUGUACAAAUGAACUCUUCCACAUGGUCACGUUUCUCAUGCCUCCUGUUUUCCAACCUCGAGACAUCAUCUUCACGCCAAGUUGAUCAUCUAGCCUCGAGGCUCCAUCCACGAUCCAGAAUGAACGUCCAGGCUUGAGGCUCCUUCUUCGUUAAGCUUUGUUGAGAACUCAUAACCUCACAUAGUUCUCCUCCGAGUAUUGUUCCCGACUCAGAACACUCGAGGUUUAGCUCAGUUGGAGUUUAGCUAUUACUGUUGCUAGUCACCAGCCUCGAGCCCCUCCAGAAGCAAGGUGAUGCGAGGGUACGAGUUUUACUAUUAAAGGUGUUUCCAUAGAAUGUGCGAGGUUAAAGCACUUGCAGCAAAAGCGUGGAGCUGCUUUCAACCAGAGUGCAAUAAUGCAGCCGUGCCCAUCUUGGUCUUGGUCUCCGCCUGAACUAUAGCAGAUGCUGGCAGCGGUAGCAGGGUGGUCCAUUAUAUCUAUGGAUGGCAAUGGUCGGAUUCGGAUGGAAUCGAAUUCGAAUAGCACUUUUUACCACAUACUAAUUCAAAUCCGAAUUCGGAUUCGGAUGUUCUCGAAUGCGAAUGCAAAAUGGAUGGUUCGAAUUCGAAUACUUAGCGGAUUUUUGCAUAAUAUUAAUCGAAUAGAAUUCAUUAAAUUUAGCCAAGAAAUUAAAUUUUCUGAAAUUAAAUACUUUCCCUUCGCCCCAGCGGCGGCCUAACUCCCAGGACGGUGGCGUGCGGGGCCCGAGCAUCCCUGGCCUCUAGUGGCGUGGCGGGGCGGCAUCCAGCAGCAGCGGCGGGGCUCGGCCUCCGGUGGCGCGCGGCCAGCCCGACCUACCCGGUCAGAGGUGGCGCAGCGGUGCGCGGGCCUCCCCGACCAGAGCCGGUGGGGAGCGGUGCGCGGGGAGGACCUCCCCAGCCGGAGGUAGCAGGGCGCGACCUCCCCGGCCGGAGGUGGCUCCCUGUGGGGGCGCGGCCGUGACAGCUAGCGAGGCAAUAAUUGCUUCCGUACGCAGCAAUAAUUGCUUGUGCGACACCGUGUUAUUACUCUGGUACAGUACUCCCUCCGUUGCAGUACACUGGUCCAGGCGUCAGGACACUGCUCCUGCCCUCGUGGUUCACGUGCAUCAGGCCAGCAGACAAGCUAUGAUGUUGCCAACAGUGUUUGUUUGAACAUGGAGAUGUCAUUGUGAUUGUCAGGGACCCGACACCAUGCAUGCCGAUUUCAUAUUCUUAAUAUUUAUUUUUUUAAUGGUUGUUGAAACUAUAUAGUUACUCCAAUAUCACGUUUCCGAUUAUAAAAAUUAACAUAAAGAGAUCGGAAGGGAGAGCCCGCAUAAUGAAGCCGACGCGUAUAAUAAGCACUAGAGCCGGCAUUUAUACAAACGGGUACGCAUAGUAAAAACUAGAAUUUAUAAAUAAAUGAAGAUAUUCAAAUAUCUGGCUUACUUUUUUCAUUAAUUUUGCAUGAAUAAGGGAUGAUUCAUUAAUCAUUAUUGAACAAAUUGGCACACAUGCUUCGUGCCCGCGUUGUGAGCAUUAUGCGAUGCCACUGAGCUGCACCACCACGGUAGAGGGCCUGUUUGCGAUGCCACCGAGCUGCACCACCACGGCAGAGGGUCUGUUUGGGAAGGGGAAGUUAAAGUUUAACACCCCCCAUUUAACACCUUUUUAACAAAAUGGCUGCUAAACACUUGUGUUAAAAGAGUAGUGUUAAAAUUUAACACCUCUCUUUUCAUAAACACAUGGAGGGGGUGUUAAAAUUUGCUAAAUGUGUUAAAAGUGGUCCCCUCCCCACUUAUUCCUUGGUUGCCCCCCUCUCUCUCCUCCUCUCUCUCCUACCCGCCGCAUUUAAGAGCAUUAUUGAGGGGUAAUGCAGUCCUUUUCCAACAAAAGUGUUAAACUUUAACAACCCUUCCCAAACAUGCCACAAGCAACACCACCGGCUGACUGUGCUAGCGGGGAGCACCCUCACCGCCUGCCCGUGGGGACUUCUUCUGCCGGCCAUCGUGUCUUUGUAGGACCGCCGCGUGAGCCUAUGAGCCACCGGUGGCCGUGCGCCCAAGGGCCAUCACCAUGCCACCUGAGGAUGCUGUCUACCCGGUGCCGCGUGCCUCUGCUAGCUGCUUGCACCUGGGCCGCCGCUGGUCGCCUGCACAGCCACGCGUUACAGCCGCCCCCCUGCGCUGGGCCACCCCAUUUCGUGUUGGAAGAACUGCCACAGUCUCGCGCACUGGGGUUUUGCUAGUGACGACCAUAGCCUCCAAGAUCAAAUGAAAAAGUUGGUACUCAAAACAUACAUCCAUUAAUCUAGUCGUGCUAAUCCUUACCACCAAAUAAAAACUAGCAUGUGUUGUGUUUUUGUGACCCUAAACGAUCACAAAUGAAUAACUUAUGGGCGUUGCUAGCCUAUAAGUUAUGGGCGUUUGUGACCCUAGUCGCGCCGGGGUCUUGCUGGUGACAACCAUGGUCUUCGCGAUAAAGUAUUAAGUCUCAUCGAGUUCUACAAUUUUGAUAUAAAAUUUCUAUUCAUCCGAGAUCAAAUGAAAAACAAAUGAAAAAAUCCGAAGUAUUAGGCUUCAUCGAGCUCUACAAUUUUGAUAUAAAAUUUCUAUUCAUCCGAGAUCAAAUGAAAAAAUCCGAGAUCAAAUGAAAAGUUGGAACUCAAAACAUACAUCCAUUAAUCUUGAUAUAAAAUUUCUAUUCAUCCGACAUCAAAUGAAAAAGUUGGUACUCAAAAUAUACAUCCUUUAAUCUAGUCGUGCUAAUCCUUACCACCAAAUAAAAAAACUAGCAUGUGUUGUGUGUUUCUGACCGUAAACGAUCACAAAUGAAUAACUUAUGGGUGUUGCUAGCGUCCCGGACGCUAGCAUCGGACGCAUGAGCAGCCGUCCGAUCGGGUCCGACACCACUUCACGAUCUGUCUUAAAAAAAAGUCCCACCGAAACAUUGUUCCAUGUUGCAUGAAAUACCCCACUAUCCAUCGCCAGGUCUACAGCAAGCACCACCUUCCAAUCUGCUGCUCACCCAAGCUAAAUAGGGGCAUUAAAAUUGCAGAAAUAUGUCACAUAUCCUUGUCAAAUUAAACUAAAUCGCAACAUCCGAAAAUUUCUUACACAAAACCAUGAAACAUAUCGAUUAGAUAGGUGUAACAAGAUGGAAUAUGGUAUCCAACAUAUAGAUUCCGAAAAACAGAUGAAACAUUAUGUAACGAUUGUUGAAACAGUCGAGAAAUAUAGAUGUAACGAUUAAAAUUUAGAAAAGAAGCUUUAUGCAAAUUGCAAAAAGCUGAAAUAAGUGGUUGAAACAUUUCGAAUCACCAAAUGCCACAUUUGAAAUGGCUACAUGAAACAUCACGAAAUCAAUUGCAACAGUUGAAGAUGAAAACAUUCAAAUGCCUUGCCUUUCUCCAGAUUUGACCCUCCAAGCAUGAGUCCAGCCAUUUGCACAUUAGACCCUUGGGAGGAGCUCACCGGAGAACAACAAGACCGUGUUCUCCAACAAUUUUCUGAUCAAAUUGCAACAGACAAAACAAAGCAUUGCAACAUCUGGCAUCACGAGCUACAACAUCAACAAGUUAGGAUCAGGAGAAAGAGGGAAAACACAAGCCUAACAACCCCAAGACAAAACUGAUGUACUCAUCAUACAUCACGGCUUGCCGUGCACAGAGAUGAAGGCCGCCAAGCUCAAUCGAGACAGAGACGACGUGAUAGUGCUCCAGAUCGACGGUCCCCAUCAAUUGUUGCGUACACUGCCAAAAGCAAUGGAAGAAGAAGGGUCGUCCCUGCUCGACCUCCGUAGAUGAGCGCAGAUUGGGGGAAACCGUAUAGAGUGCCGCUGACAGCACAGGCGAGGGGGCUCAGGCUUGAUUCAGGGUGAGGGUAGCGGGUAGCAUGAGGAGACAGUCAGGUUUCAUAGGAGAGAGGCGGAGUAGAGAGCUCUGGUGACUCGGUGAGGAGGGUGCGGCACGGAGAAAGGUGUGUAGCUGAAGGAGCUACAUGGUUGGGGCGAGGCGAGCGUAGAGACUAGAGAGGGAAAAAAAGCAUGGGGAGGAGACGAUAUGUGGUUGAUGGUGCGGGCACGUGGUGAGCGCACCGUAUGAAAAUUUUGCUCGCGUCGGAUGACUGAUGUGAAGCAUUACCCAAUCUUAAUUAUCUCCCAUAAUCCAAAACUCACAAAAACAUCAAAAAUCCGCCGAGAAUAAAUUAAGUAAACCAUGCACACACAGAUAAUAAAAUUGCUAAUAAGGCCAGAGAUAAUACAUGAACAUAUUAGACUGUUCAUGACACAUAUCACGGUGGAUAGUGUCUGUGUCCUUAUUACAAGCAAUGAGAGAUGCUUGUCACCACACACACGCGCACAGAUGCAUGACAUACAUAUAGUUGAGACCAACAGAUGGAUCAACUAGAGGUCACCCCAUAUGGUGAACAAUUUAUUGGAGAUAAACAUUAACAUAACUUGGCCAUAGCUUGAAGCAUAGCAACAUAUGCCUAUGAAUGGCGUUCAUGCUAUCGUUUUAGGCUUGUCCAGCUUCUUUCAUCUUAGCAAGCACUUCCAUUUCUACCAUCUUAGCAGCAACUGUCAAAUUGAGAUAUGGAAAUCCCAUUAGCGCAUGAUUAAUUUUGCAGUGGAAAUAGAGUGCAAGAUAUCUUCAUGAUGUAAAUAACAUGCCUGAAGUUGUGAGAUGGGAAGUGAAGUCAACAAAUUACAUUAACGGAAAUGCAUGGAAGGCCACACAUACGUAUUAGUCCAUAAUACGCUACAAAGCUUGUAUGUACAUAUAGCAAAUUAAAUGCAUUAAUUGAAUAGAGUGAGUUUAGUGAAUUUACCAGAAUCGUCCAGAAAACAUGGGAAACAGCAAGUGUGCUUGCAGACUGUGUCGGAGCCACCCACACGAAUACAAAGCUGACAACAUGCUUGUGCCUCGUGGGAUACGCAGCAGCCGCACUGUGCCGCGGUGGCCGAGUUAACAUUGAGGCUCAAGAUGAACAGGCACAUGAUCACCAUCAAAGUGGUAGUCCUCUUUCCCUCCAUUGCCUCCUGUCGCUGCUACCUUCCUUGGUUACUAGUAAGUUUAUUGGUUUUGUGUUGAGAGGUGAUUCUUGCAUUGAAUGGACGUUGCCGCGGCUGCAAUUUAUAGGCAGCUGCGCUAUGUGAUGAUAUGGACAAGGUGCAAAUGGGUGGUCCUGAUAUGCAGGAGCGGAUCUAGGGCCCAGGCAGUUUAAAUUAAAGUCUCCUCAUAGGCAGUUUGACUAUGAUCAAUUUUACCUGUAUUUCUCAAUAUGUAGAUAAUUCUAUGCCAACAAUUAAAAACUAAUACAUAAUUUGACACGGUGUACCUCGAGAACGUUUUGAAAAUGUACUCUCUCGUUAGGCGUUCACCUCCUUAACAAUAACUGCGACUGUAAAAUAGGUACAUCGACGCUAGCUAAAUAAACCACUAUAAGAUUUAGCAAGAGAUCAUUUUAUACAAUCCUGUAACGAAAGAAUUUGACAAUUGUAGUGUCCAUAUAUUUUGACAAAAAACGUCUAAAUUAUAUAAGGAGGUGGGCCCGAAACAGUUGCAUUAGCAUAUGGUUACCCGUUUGUUGUCUUCCGGUCCUAAAAAAAGGACCAUCUUACUUAAAAAGGUUCUAUUAGGCCAUGCAGCCGGCUCUGUGGCACCAAAAAGAAAUUUUGACACGGUUUACAUCGAGAACGUUUUGAAACUAGACUUUGGUAAGCAGUUCAUCACCUGCUUAACAAUAACGGCGUACAUAGACGCUAUCUAAAUUAACCACUAUAAGAUUUAGCGAGAGAUCUAUUUUUUAUAAUUGCGUAUACCACUUUACGAGAGAGACGUCAAGAGCAUGAUGGUACACUUUGUAUAUAUCUUUGAAUUCCAGCUACGGGACUUUCUUGCCUUCGCCGAAAAAAUCUAUCGGUUUUAUCUUAAGGCCGAACAUCUCCCUCUCGUCAGCGAACUUCUUCAUGUACCAUUUAUGGAAUUUGUAUAUCAAAGCUUCCCUACCAACUCAGGCCUUACUGGAGAUUUGCCUAGCUCAAAGGUCCAUUUCAGUUCAACUAGCGGUCCAGCUGGCAGCUCAACUUGCCCAAGACACUCAGCAAGUCCCAUACCUAUUUCUUCCAUGAAUUUUAUUACUUCUGCUUGUUGAUGCAAGGGCAUUGCUGCUAUCUGUUUAGCGUCGUUUUCUAGUAGAUGCCCGAGGUGGGGGAUAGCACCACUUGAAGACAACUUUCCUUUCCUUUUUUUCCUCUCAUCAACCUUAACUAAUGCCCGUUCGUAGUUCGACAGUAGUGGCACUGACUUCUUGGUUGCUUCUUUCAUCUUUUUUUUAAAAAAAUAAUUCUCUUCGAUCUAUUAGCGGUGGCUCCAUCUCCUUUGCUUUUUUUUCUUCGACCCUUUUCUUGAACCACUCCCUGCAUUCUGCUUGGUUUCGGCCCAGCGUUCCGCUUGAGUCAUUGCCUCUUGGCGUUUCUCAGGAGUCACUUUAGGCUCCUUUAUUUUUUUCUUUCUCUAUCUUGGCUUGGGAGGCAAUGGUCGUGACUUCUUAAGUGGUGCUGCAGUUUCCUUGCUCUAGGCUUCUCUUAGUCCCGAUGACGAUGAUCGGGGAGGAGUGUUGUUGUCCUCGUCGUCGCUCGCACCACCAGGAUGUGGUGGAGAUGGAGACCUUGAUCGAGCAGGAAGCGACGGUCCCUGUGGUGACGACGGUCCUGGAGCAGGUUGUGCUGGAGAUGAUGGUCCUGGAGCAGGCCGUGGUGGAGAUGACGGUCUUGAGCUUUGGGGAGAGGGUCGCUGCUGGGGAUUUGUGGGGAGCAGUCUUGAGCUUUGAGGAGAUGCCUCAAUGCCGGGGAUGAUGAUGUAGCAUUUGUGCCAUAGAAUGAUCCCGUGAAGCGCAUAUCCUAGUGUCCUUUCCCCGUCACCUCCCGGGAGGUCGAGCUCUAGGCCUUCAUAUUGGCUAUCAACGAGCUGCUCUAGGCCGACGCUGGCGUAGCCAGGUGGAAUCUCAAUGCCAUGGCUUGUCUGCCCUGGCAGGAUUGGUAAGGCACUCUCAUACACCACCUGUACAUAUAGCAGAAAUAAAGAAGUUAUUAAACUCCGAUCCCGAGGUGUGGAUGGAUGAUUGAGAAGAUUGCAAAAAUAUCAUGUAUAAGUAUACCUUAAUGGUGAUGUUGUCGACCGAUUUAUGCAGCUCACAUGAGGUGCGUUGCGUGAUGACAUCCAUAGGGAACCGUUGCUCAACCAUGGGUAAUCCUUGCAUUUAUGGAUCGGGGAGCCCUGUGGAAGCACAGCUGCUCCCGAGGUGUUAAGAAGGGCUAGCGACGUUUGGAUCCGACAGUGCUCUAGAUUGGGCUAACUCCGCAACUGCUAGGGCCACUCGACAAUUGAUUUCCUCUUGCAUUCUUACUUCUUGUGAAUGCACUUUGGAUUCUAGCAUGCACCUCAAGGUCUCCUCAACAUGUUCCUUUCUUCGCUUGUGGCUUUGGUACGAAGCGAUGUCACCUUGAAAAGCGAACUUCCACGGAAUGACCCCGUACCCUCGGCAAUGUCUUGGGUGCUCGGGAUUCCCGAGGGCCAAUGUGAGCUCAUGAUUCUCUCGGUCCACCUUCAACCUCCGAGCCUUAGCAUCUUCAAUGUUCUUCAUAAGCCUUUCGGCCUUCUGACGUAUUGUCUCAUUGAAGAUCAAUGUCACAUCCUCUUUGGCUCAGGUUGCCUCCAUGAGCGUAACACCAAUUUUUCGAUUGAUCGGGCCAUUCAAGAGUUGCUGGUAUGAUACUCUGAUCAAUCAGGUUUUGUUCCAUCUUGCACCAUCUGGGAAUUGCUGUGCCCUAACCACCUCACCCUAGACGAUGAUGGUACUCCUUCUUGCCAGCAUUUGCAACGUUGGUCUUGACCUUAUUCGCACCGUCUUCGCUCGUCUUGUGUUCGACAAAUGCCUCCCAGUGGUCCCUCAACUUUUGCCACUCAUCGAAAUCCGGAGUUUAGCCAUUCUUGAUGAAUGUGGCAUCCAGCAUCUUCUUGAAUGUCUGGAAUUGUGUGGCCAUCUUCUUCAGCGUCCACGGUUUCACAUCAUCUUCAUUACAUCCUUCGGGAAAUGUGAAAUGUCUCUUAACAUCUGCCCACAGCAUAUUCUUUUCUGAAUCCGGGAGCGUGUAUGGAUUAGUACUUUUGUCCUUCCAUUCCCUGAUGCUGAUAGGCAGAAGCUAGAGACUAUUUCUUUUUCUAAAAAUACACAUGAGGGAGAAAAUUGGUAACAGCUAAACAGUGCAGAUUGCAUUUCAACACACGUUUUUAUAGCUGAGCACACGUCUGAAUCCCAUUUUUAAGUGUUCGGUCCUACACCCACAUUUUCAUCCCAGGUUGUCGGUUUAGUCAUUUUUUACCUUCCAUGACCUAUAGCACACAUUUUUAUGGUAGAACACGCAUUCAGAGGUCAUUUCCACAUCUUCGGUCCAUCCCCAUAUUUUCAUCCCCGGUGGCCAGUGUGGCUGUUUUCGAACUAACGUGACUUAUAACACACGUUUUCAUAGCCGAACACGUGUCCGAAGGCCAUUUUCAAGUGUCUAGUCUGACACCCACAUUUUUGUCCCCGGUGGCCGGUAUGGCUAUUUUUGUGCUCCCGUCACCUAUAACACACAUUUUCAUGGUCGAACACACGUCCGGAGGCCAUUUUAAGUUGUUCGGUCCAUCCCCACAUUUUUUACCCCGGUGGUCGGUGUGGCCAAUGUUUUCUUGGUCGAACACGCAUCCGGAGGCCAUUUUCACUUGUUCGGUUCGACACUAACAGUUUCAUCCCGGUGGCCGGUGUGGCUAUUUAUCGUUCUCCCAUGACCUAUAACACACAUUUUCAACACUAACACUUUCGGAGGCCAUUUUCAAUUGUUCGGUCUGACACCAAUGUUUUGGUCCCCAGUGGCCGGUGUGGCCGUUUUCAACCUCCCGUGACCUAUAACACACAUUUUCAUAGCUAAACACGCGCCCGGAGGCCAUUUUCAAGUGUUCGGUCUGACACCCACAUUUUCGUCCCCGGUGACCGGUGUAGCUCUUUUUGGCCUUCCAUGACCUAUAGCACACGUUUUCAUGGCCAAACACACGUCUGGAGGCCAUUUUUCACUUGUUUGGUGCAUCCCUAGUUUUUGCUCCAGUGCUAAUGUGGUCGUUUUUAGGCUUCGACCUAUAGCACACAUUUGCAUGGUUGAACACGCGUCCAGACGUCAUUUUCACUUGUUCGGUCCAUCCCCCACGAUUUCAUCCCCGGUGGCCGGUGUGGCCGUUUUUGGGCUCCCAUGACCUAUAACCCACGUUUUCAAGGCCGAACUCGCGUCUGGAGGCCAUUUUCACUUGUUCAGUCCAUCCCACAUGUUCUCGUCCCCGGUGGCCGGUGUGGUCAUUUUCAGGUUCCCGUGACCUAUAAUCCUCGUUUUCAUGGCUGAACACACGUCCGAAGGCCAUUUUCGCUUGUUCAGUCCAUCCCCCAUGUUUUCGUCCCAGGUGGCCAGUGUGGCCGUUUUUGAACUAACGUGACCUAUAACAUACGUUUUCAUAGCCGAACACGUGUCCGAUGUCCAUUUUCAAGUGUUCGGUAUGACACCCAAGUUUUCAUUCCUGAUGGCUGGUGUGGCCAUUUUCGGGCUCCCGUGACCUAUAACACAUAUUUUCAUGGCUGAACAUGCGUCCAAAGGCCAUUUUCAUUUGUUCAGUCCAUCCCCCACGUUUUCAUCACCGGUGGCCGGUGUGGCCAUUUUAGUGAUCCCGUGACCUAUAAAACACGUUUUGAUAGCCGAAGACGUGUUUGCAGGCCAUUUUCAAGUGUUCGGUUUGACACCCACGUUUUCGUCCCCGGUGGCCGGUGUUGCUGUUUUUUGCCUUCCAUGACCUAUACACGUUUUCGUGGCUGAACACGCGUUCGGAGGCUAGUUUCACGUUUUCAUCCCUGACGGCUAGUGUGGCCAUUUUCGGGCUCCCGUGACCUAUAACACACAUUUUCAUGGCCAAACACAAGUCCGGAUGCCAUUUCCAGUUGUUCAGUCCAUCCCCCACAUUUUCAUCCUCGGUGGCCGGUGUGGUAGUUUUUGGCCUCCCGUGACCAACAACACACAUUUUCGUAGCUGAACACAUGUCCGGAGGCUAUUUUCAAGUGUUUGGUCCUACACCCAUCUUUUCAUCCCCGGUGGGUAGUGUAGCCAUUUUUUAUCUUCCGAAACCGAUAGCACACGUUUUCACGAGCAUGGCCUGUGAGGCUUAGCUUCUCGUAACCGUAGGUCAUGGCAGGGUUUGAUCGGUCAGGAGGCUGAAGAGUAAGUUACUUUGGGUAGUCAGUGGAAUGGGAUGCCCUUUCAUUUGGGCGAAGUGUGUGAUCGCACGAAAGUAAAGAGCAGGUGGUACUGCACCCUCGUGGAGCCCCCGAGCGACCCAAGCUAAGAGUGCUCGGGCUGGGGCGCUAUAGGAGCGAGUAUCAAAUGGAAACAACUGGUAAAACCAAGCUAGGGAAAUAAACAAUGUAACUGCUCAAUGUUCCAUGUGUUGGUGAGGAUGUUGCCGUCGUCGUCCUUCAGUCAGUAGGCGCAUGGUCGGAUCACCUCGGUGACUGUGUACAGUCCUUCCCAUGGCGGAGAGAGCUUGUUCUUAUUAUUGGUCGACUAGGUCCUUCGAACCACAAGGUCACCAAUCUCGAGGGUCCUCCCUCGGAUUUUCCUCUCGUGGUACCUACGAAGGGUUUGCUGGUAACGAGCGGAGUGGAUGAUGGCCAUCUCAUGUGGCUCCUCGAGCAGGUCGACUAUGUCCUGCUAAGCUUCUGUAGCUCGGUCUUGGUCGAAGGCCUUUACCCUUAGGGCACCGUAAUCGAGGUCGAACGGUAACACGGCUUUGGCUCCGUACACCAAUAAGAAGGGGGUGAACCCUGUGGAUUGGUUUGGGGUCGUUCUAAGGCUCCAGAUUACCACUGGGAGCUCUGUGACCCAUCACCCGGUGUGCUUUUUUAGCCGGUCGAAAAUGCAAGGCUUGAGCCAUUGGAGGACCAUGCCAUUCGCUUGCUUGACCUGAUCGUUGGUUUGUGGGUGCCCGACCGAGGCCCAGUCGAUCCUAAUGUCGUAUCCAUCAUAGAAAUCCAGGAACUUCUUGCUAGUGAAGUUUGUUUCGUUGUCUGUGAUGAUGCAGUUAGGGACGCUAAACCGAUAGAUGAUGUCAAGGAAGAACUCGACUGCGUCUUGUGACCGGAUGUUGGUGAUGGGCUUCGCCUCAAUCCACUUGGUGAAUUUGUCCACCGCCAUGAGUAGGUGAAUGAUGCCACUCGGGGCCUUUUUAAGGGACCCAACUAUGUCGAGGCCCCAGACCGCGAAUGACCAGAUGAUGGGGAUGGACUAGAGCUCUUGCGUCGGCAGGUGAGUUUUCUGAGCAUAGAACUGGCAGCCUUCACACUUGUGGACCACCUCCUCUACGUCUUGAAAUGUUGUGGGCCAGUAAAAACCUUGGCAAAAGGCUUUCCCGACCAGUGAUCUCAGGGACGCAUGGUGUCCGCAGAUUCUGGCAUGGACAUCAAGAGAAGUUGUUUCCCCUAAUUGGUCGGGAUGCACUUCAUGAGUAUUCCCGAUGGACUUCAUUUGUAACGUUCAUCACCGAUGGCGACAAAUGUCUUGACGCGUCAAGUGAUUCAUCGUGCUUCAAUCCUCUCCAGUGGGAGGACCUCUUCGAGGAUGUAGGCGAGUAACGACGCUCUCCAGUUGGUUGGGUCAUGCACCAUUACGUCAGUGCUUCUAGGUGAGGUCGCCAUAGGGGCAUCAGGGUCGGAGCCCCUGAGCACGCAAUCGGACUGUGACUGGGUUGGGUCCUCUCGGACACGGGCAGAUGGUUCAUGGAGGUCGUUCACGAAGACUCCGUUGGAAGAUGGGCCCCAUCUAGGUGCCAAUUUUGUGAGGAAGUUAGCAACAUCAUUGUCCUUUUGUGGCACAUGAUGUAGCUCGAUCCCUCGGAACUUGUCUUCUAACUUGCAUACAUCUUGACAGUACGCUGCCAUGAGAGGGCUCCUGCAGGAGGACUCCUUCAUGACUUGGUCGACCACUAGCUCCAAGUCGCCGCAGCAUAAAGCCGCAUCUCGCCGAGCUCGAUGGUGAUACGUAGCCUAUUGAUGAGGGCUUCGUACUCCAUGAUGUUGUUCAAGGUUGGAAAAUGGAGACGGAUCGCGUAGCGGAGCCUAUUCCCCUGUGGUGAGAUAAGGACCACUCUAGCCCUCGAGCCAGGUCCCAUGAUCGAACCGUCGAAGUACAUCAUCUAGUACUCGUGGGUGACAUCCAGGGUCAGGAUCUGGACUUCCAUCCACUCGGCGAUGAAGUCGGCCAGGUCCUAAGACUUGAUAGCUAUGCAGGGGACGUACUUGAUGUCAUGGCCCAUGAGCUCAAGCAUGCACUUGGAGAUUCGCCCCAUAGCAUCACGGUUGCAGAUGAUCUCUCCCAGCAGGUACAAGGUGAUGAUCGUGACCUCAUGGUCGGUGAAGUAGUGUCGGAGCUUCCGGGUUGCCAUCAGCAUGACGUACAGAAGGUUCUGGGCUUGGGGUAACGCAUGUUGGCGUCAUGUUGACACCAUGUUUUGACAUACGUCAAACAUGGCGUCAAAAGAAAAUAGAGAUGCCAGCGCAUAGUGGAAGGACAACGGCUAGUGGAAUCGACUGGUAAGGUUGUAGAGGGUUGAGCCGAUAGAGUAAGGCAGAAGCCUAGGCGAUGGGAUCACAGGGGCAUAGCCCAUAGAGUCAGACGAUGCGAGCAGGAGGGUUCUAGCCGAUAGGAAAUGUUGGAGGUUCGGCCGAUGAGGAGCUGGUUUUGGUCGGUAGAAGCCAAGUUCGUUUCUGACUCCUACAUGAGUCAUUUUUAUUUAGAAAGUUUGUUUCUUUAGAGAUAGGUCUUAUGAUUUGUUGUAACCGACUAGGAUUAGAAAUCUUGAUGUAUAGGGUAUAAAUAGGGGCCUUGUAAGGUUUGGAAAAGACACACACAUCAUAAUCAAUACAAAUCUACUAUUUUCGCAAUCUACUUUCAAGUCGACGACUUCGCCAUUGUUUUGUUUUCUUCACGAGUUCUUCCAAGCUGGUUGGGCUGCAUUGCUUCGAUCUCCAGCUAGACUGUAAGUUUCGCGUUUACUGAAUACCUCCUAGGCUUUAACUUUGGGUGCAUUGCUGUCAUUUCGUCUGGAUUUAUUCACAAGUUAUCGAUAUUUACUGGAUCUGCAUGUUUUAUUUGUUAAAUCUUGUUGCUUUAGUUUUUAUCACGGUUAUCCAGCUUAGAACACAUUCCAAUCAGCUUUUUCUUUAUUUCUCAUACUAAUCUACUAUCACCCAGCCGAUUAGAUCUGUUUUAAUUGGUGUUCAUGUAAUGCUAUUUAGGUUGUAUUUUACGCUUCCUUUACAUCUACUACAUCCACAUCGGCUGAUCUAGCCGAUUGUCUUUUCUCGUGUCGGCAGCUCUACGAUACGUCCUGUGGAGCGAUUUAGAAUGCCAGCUGAUUUGCUCUUGUAUUUGACAUUUUACCUGUCCUUUUCAAUCAAUAGGUCAGAUUGACUGGCACACCAUGGAUCGAUAGGGCUACAACCCAAACAGGAGCGAAGCAGAUUCUCCCCGGUUUUGUGUGUUAGUGCGCGGGAGCCGUCUCUCAAUUUUUGCGUCAACACAUCGGUGAGUACUUCACUGAUGAAGUACACCGGUCGCUGGACCUUCAGCGCAUGUCCUAGCUCCUCUCUAUCGACUACAAGGGCAGUACUAACCACGUGGUCGCUUGCCGCGAUGUAGAGGAGAAGGGGUUCUUCCUGCUCGGGAGCGAUGAGGACUAGGGCCGAAGUCAGCAAUGCUUUGAGGCUUUCCAAAGCCCAUUGUGCCUCCUCCAUCCAGACGAAUGCGUCUGCCUUCUUGAGGAGUGUGUAGAGAGGCAUCCGUCGUUCGCCUAGUUGGGAGAUGAACCGGCUCAGGACGGCCAAACAACUAGUGAGCCUCUGUAUGCCCUUGAUGCUGUGUAUGGGGCCCAUGUUGGUGAUGGUCGUGAUUUUUUUGAGGUUGGCUUCAAUGCCGCGCUCGGACAUGAUGUACUUGAGCAGCUUCCCCUUUGGAACCCCGAAAACACAUUUCUCAGGAUUAGUGGGGUUGUGGUGCUGCACUACUCCAGAACAACAACACUGCGGCACGCUUGCUCAAUCAGACGGCAAACCAGCCUGCUCUAGCAUACAACCUCCAUCACCAUCGGCUCCGCAGCCAGCCGUCCAGCGUUAUCAGCAGCAUCCACUAGAAGUCAGCAGGGAGGAUGGUGUUUUGGAUCCUCACAGGGAUGGGUCACCUAUAGUGGUGUACGAUGAGGCAACCAGUGUGUUGCGGCAUGUUGAUUCUUCCCGCCAGUUGACCUAGCCGCAAUAUCUGCAACAUACAUCGGCUAUCCAAUAGCCAAUUGUGGUGCCACAAAUUCAGCAGCAGGUGCCAGUGGGCCAGCCAAUGCUCCAACCUAUGGUCCAGCAGUAGCCGCAACAGGUUGAUUGGGCCGCAAAGAUAGCUGGGGUGAUGCAAGAUCAGUUCGGUCUAAAACCUAAAGUGCAGACCUACACGUACAGAAUGCCGUACCCACCAGCCUAUGACAUGUUGUCGUUCCCUCACCGAUUUCACCAAGUUCUCGGGACAAGAUGAGGCAUCUACGGUGGAGCACGUCAAUAGGUUCAUCAUUCAGUGUGGAGAGUCAGCUGUGCAGGAUGCUCUGAGGGUUCGGCUGUUCUCAUCAUCUCUGUCCGGGUCAGCCUUCCAGUGGUUCACGACGCUUCCACCUAACUCCAUUAUCACCUGGGACAAUCUGGAGAAAUAGUUCCACAAAAACUUUUUUGCUAGGGUUCACGAGAUGAAGCUGACAGAUCUAACUAGUCUCAGGUAGAGGAGUGAUCAAUCGGUGGCCAGUUUCAUCCAACGGUUUAGGGAAGUCAGGAACAAGUGCUACAGUUUGGUCUUGAGCGAUAGCCAACUAGCCAACACGGCUUUUUAGGGGCUUCACAGGAGUUCGAGAGUUUGAGCCAGAUUGUACACCGGUUGUCAAACCAAGACGUACACCCAUUUGAUUAGAGAAAGAAUUUCCAGAAGAAGGUGGCGUACGUGGAGUGUUUGGACUUAGAAGGAGAAGCAGAGGUCAGCUUGGCAGAGUGGGUUAAAGUCCAAAAAGCCGAUCUCUUGCCCGUACGGCAAGAAGGAGCCUGAGAAAUUCGAGUUCAAUAUUUCCAAGGCCAAUAAGAUCUUUGAUUUGUUGCUGCAAGAAGGGAAAAUCAAGCUCUCACCAUACCACACGAUCCCAUUGACUGAAGAACUUAAGAAGAUCAAGUACUGCAAGUGGCACAAUGCCACAUCUCACAACACCAACGAGUGCAAAGUCAUCUGCCAGCAGAUCCAAUUAGCUAUUGAGCAAGGGAGGCUCAAGUUUAAAGCUCCUUCAAAACCAGCAAAGCCGAUGAAGAUCGACCAACAUCCAUUCCCAACAAAUAUGGUAGAAGUCGGAGGCAAAAGCGCACCUCCCACAAAGGUGCUGACAUCAGAACCAGCCAAGAGGAGUGGAGAUGUGGACCCUAGAGUAUAGGUGUCGGCCAACGAUGUCAAGUUGAACAGUCAGUUGCAAGAAGGUUAAGCUCAACAAGGCCUCAAUGGCCGAUAUCCUCCCAAGAGUUUCUCAAUAAGUUAUAGAGAUAGCAAGACCAGGCAAGGCACCGGGAAGAGAUGACACAUCACCAUGAAAACCACUGGAGAUGCCCAUUCUUCAUAUACUGCUAGGAGGAGCGGAUCAAGAUACCAUCGAUUGACAACUACCCCGAAUGCAAUGGGUCAUACCAAGGCAGCCGAUUGUCCAAAAGACCGUGCUUUGAUGAUAGGAAUCAAAAGCCGAUCAAUAGGGAUAGACCUUACCAUGAUGACAGGUGCAUCCCAAUGCGUGAUUGACUGGGGGGGCAGGAUCAGUAUACAUGAUUGGCUGGAGGGCAGGCUAAAUGUUCCCAACAGACUAGAGGAAAGAGCCAAUGCAAGAGUCCUCGAUGAAGAGCCUUUGUGUCGCGAACCAGAGCGGCGGCGUGCAUCAUGAGACAAAGCUAUAGAAUAGCCUAGAUGGUGCCCAGCGGGUUUGACUAAGUCCCAGAAGAGACGGGUUCAAUGCAUGCGACAAUGGGAGUAUCAAGAAGAGGAACAAAGGUGUGCUUCAGAAAGGAAAGGGGUCAAAUCCUAGGUGUGGCACAUCAAAGACAAAGCCGAUGACGAAGAUAACAAUCCCAAAUCAGCUGUUGAUGUCAACAUGGUUUUCGUAUUACCGAUGGAAUUCAUGGCUCCAACCAAUCACAAGGCAACAGAAGCAGAACAGGGGAUGGCACAAUUAACCUUGGAGCUGAUGUCAGCCACCUUUGAGAAACCCAAAGAUGAAAAACGUCGGCACCUGAAAGCCCUCUUCCUCAAGGGGCAAAUCGACGGGAGGCUGAUUACCAAGCUUCUGGUGGACAGUGGUGCAGCCGUGAACAUCAUGUCGUAUGCCAUGUUCCGCAAGCUCGGCAAAGGCGAAGAAGACUUGAUCAAAACAGACAUGAUGCUGAAGGACUUCAAAGGAAACAUCUCUCCGGCCCAGGGGGCACUCUGCGUCGACCUCACCAUCGGCAGUAAGACCCUAGCUACUACUUUCUUUGUUAUUAAUGGUAAAGGGUCCUACAAUAUGCUUCUGGGUCAAGAUUGUAUUCACGCCAACUACUACAUCCCGUCUACAAUGCAUCAAUGUCUCAUCCAAUGGGUCGGCGACUCAGUUGAAGUGGUCACCGCUGAUUCUUCUUUCAGCGUCGUUGCAGCCGAUGCACAAUAGUAGAAUUGCAAAUAAGUCAGCUGCAUAUCUGGCAGAGUCUAGGAUACAGAUUUCUUGAAGAUGUCCAAUUUUGGACUACAGCGAUCCAAGUAGUCGGCUCUGAAGAAUUGUCCUGAUGGAUGAGUUCACCCAAGAAGAUGGGAAGCUGGAGCAUGAGUUUAUGUCAGUCGACGAGUUAGAGAUGGUAGAGCUUGAAGAUGGGAGCAAGCCAAAGCAGACAUAUAUUAGUGCUAAGUUAGAUCCUGAGUAUAAGCAUGAACUAAUUAAGUUGUUAAAAGAAUUCAAAGAUUGUUUUGCUUGGGAGUAUCAUGAAAUGCCUGGUUUAGAUCAAUCUAUUGUCGAACAUCAGUUGCUAAUAAAAUCAGGAUAUCGGCCGUAUCAGCAACCUGUGUGACGUUGUAAUCCGAAGAUUUUACUUGAUAUUAAGGCUAGGAUCACAAGAUUAAUUGAUGUGGGGUUUAUUCGGCAAUGUCGGUAUGCUGAGUGGAUUUUUAAUGUGGUUCCCGUAUACAAGAAGAAUGGAAAACUGCACAUUUGUAUUGAUUUCAGGAACCUCAAUCAAGCCACACCAAUGGAUGGUUGUCUGAUGCCGACAGCUGAUGUGUUGAUAGAUGCUACUUUAGGAUACAAAGUCAUUAGUUUCAUGAAUGGUAACGUUGGAUAUAACCAAGUAUUGAUGGAGAAAGAAGAUAUUUCCAAGACGGCUUUCGGGUGUCCUGGACACAACGGUUUAUUUGAAUGGGUGGUCAUGACCUUCGGAUUGAAAAAUGCUAGGGCUACAUAUCAGCGAGCCAUGAAUUACAUUUUCCAUAAACUUAUCGGCAUCCUAGUGGAAAUUUAUAUCGAUGAUGUCGUAGUCAAAUCGAAAGGGUAUCGAGAACACUUAGCCGAUUUGCGUGAAGUCCUGGAAUGCACAAGGAAAGAUGGGUUGAAAAUGAAUCCGAAUAAAUGUGCUUUUGGCGUGUCGGCUCGAAAGUUCUUGGGGUUCAUGGUUCACGAGUGAGGCAUUGAAAUUAAUCAGAGGAUCAUUGGUUCUAUUAACAAAGUUGUGGCUCCGUAAAAUAAGACUGAGUUGCAGUCAUUAAUCGAUAAAAUUAAUUUCAUCCAAAGAUUCAUAUCGAACCUGUCUGGAAGGAUUCAAUCUUUCAGCCUGUUGCUUAAACCAAAAGUCGAUCAAGAGUUCGUUUGGGGGUAGAGCAGCAAAAUGCAUUGGAUGAUAUCAAACAAUACCUGGUGUCACCUCCUAUAUUGGUUCCUCCACAAGCUAACAAGUCGUUCAGGUUAUACCUCUCAGCCUAUGAGUGUGCCAUUGGGUCGGCUCUUGUCCAAGAACUUGAAGGGAAGGAACGAGUAAUUUAUUAUGUGAGCAGAAGACUCUUGGAUGCAGAGACCAGGUAUUCCCCAGUUGAGAGGUUGUGUCUAUGCCUAUAUUUCUCCUGCACUAAGCUUAGACACUAUUUAUUAUCCGCCGAGUGCGUUGUGGUAUGCAAGGAUGAUGUGGUCAAAUACAUGUUGCCAUUGCCAAUUCUAAAUGGAAGGAUUGGGAAGUGGAUUUUGACUCUGUCGGAGUUUGACCUAAAGUACGAAUCAACUAAAGCUGUCAAAAAGGGCAAGUCAUGGCCGAUUUUGUUACUCAUCAUUGUAGGCCAGAGGUUGCUAUUGUUGAGGUAGCCCAAUGGACUUUAUUCUUUGAUGGAUCUUCAUGUGGGAUUGGAUCAGGAAUCGGCAUAAUCCUUAUAUCACCUUGGGAGGCGAACUACAAGUUCUCACUGCCAGUUGAGGCUUCUGCUACCAACAACCAGGCCGAGUAUCGAGCCAUUUUGAAGGGGAUCCAAUUGCUGAGAGAAAUCAAAGCUGAUGCUGUUGAGAUUUUUGGGGAUUCUAUGCUUAUCAUCAACCAGCUGACUGGAGGAUGUGAAUGCAGAGAUGAUAUUUUAAGAAUUUACUAUGAACAGUGCCUUCAGUUACUCAAAGAAUUCAAGAGUGUGGUUAUUGAGCAUAUUCCCAGAGAUUACGAUGAGGAUGCUAACAAGCUCGCCGCAUGCUUCUGGUUAUCGACCGAUCUGUGGUGUUAUGGCCUUAGAGUUAAUGGCCGAUGAUUGGAGGAAAGAAAUAGUAGAUUACUUAAAAGAUCCCUCCAAGAAAGUCGAUAGGCGAGUUCGAUUUCAGGCUUUGCAAUAUGUGUUGCUUGAAGAUGACCUUUAUUAUCUGAUGAUUGAUGGGGUCUUGCUUAAAUACCUCAGGGUUGAAGAAGCCAAGAAACUGAUGGGCGAAAUUCAUGAAGGGGUUUGCGGAGCUCAUCAAUCGGCUUUCAAGAUGAAGUGGAUGAUUAGAAACAAGGGGUAUUAUUGGCCGACUAUACUUGAAGACUGCUUUAAAUACUAUAAAAGUUGUCAAGAUUGUCAGAAGUUUGGCAAUGUGCAAAGAGCCCCGGCAUCGGCUAUGAAUCCUAUAAUAGAGUUGUGGCCAUUUAGGGGGUAUCGAUUUGAUCGGCCAGAUUUAUCCACCUUCAAGCAAGGGUCAUAAGUUCAUACUAGUAGCAACGAAUUAUUUCACUAAGUGGGUUGAAGCAAUUCCCUUGAAAAAUGCAACAUCGGCAAGCAUGGUUGAUUUUGUCAAAGAACACAUCAUCUAUCAAUUUGGUAUCCCUCAAACUAUCACUACCGAUCAAGGGACAAUGUUCACUUCGAGAGAGUUUGAGGAAUUCGCUACUAGUAUGGGAAUUAGGUUGUUGAAUUCUUCUUUGUAUUAUGCCCAGGAAAAUGGUCAAGCUGAAUCAUCCAACAAGGGGAUCAUUAAAUUAAUUAAGAGGAAGAUCGAAGAGCAGCCAAGGCGCUGGCACACUACGUUGAGCGAAUCCUUAUGGGCGUAUCAAAUGGCUUGUCACGGAGCCACAAAAGUAUCCCCUUAUCAAUUGGUUUAUGAACAUGAAGCAGUUCUACCUUGGGAGUUAAAGACUGGGUCUAGGCGUGCAUCGUUGCAAGACCAGUUAACAGCCGAAGAAUACUCUACUUUGAUGAAAGGGGAUUUGGAAGACCUAGCGGGUCAUCGACUAAGGUCUUUGAUCAGCAUCGAAGAAAAUAAGAAGAGGGUGGCUAGAUGGUAUGACAAAAAGGUCAAGGUCAAGGAGUAUUCCCAAGGAGAUUUAGUCUGGAAGCCGAUAUUGCCGAUUGUGUCUAAAGAUCCCAAAUUUGGGAAAUGGUCGCCUACAUGGGAGGGACCGUAUCGGAUAAACCGGUGUGCUCCUGGUAAUGAGUAUAUUUUGGAGACACUUGAAGGAGAGGAGUUCACAAGGGCUCUAAAUGGAAAAUACUUUAAGAAGUACUACCCGAGUAUAUGGGUAGAUGCAUAGCCGAUGGUGUGAUGCCUCGGACUAACAUAGACGAUAUUGAGGGUAUCGCCUUUAGUCUAAAAAGAAAAGAAGGAAAAAGGCAGACACAUGGAUAGCCGAUAAAAUCAGCUGUGAUAUGGCCGAUGUGAUACAAGUCACCCUUAGAACAAAUAAUACUUGCAACACUUCGGACACAACAGGUUAUUACAUCAAAGUCAUCAUUAUAUCAUGGCCAAGACAUUCCAUUACAGGCAAAUCUGGAUGGCUCCCUAUUGAUAUCGGCAAAUACUUACUCCCUUUGGCGAGAUGUGCCUAGGAGACGCCCCAGUUGAGCCUUAGUAGUGCCGAUUUCCCUGUUGACCUGGCCCAAUUCCAGUAGAAGUUGAAUUUUCCUAGCCUCCAAACUGGCCAACUUGUCUUCGAGCAAUACACGGGGGGGGGGGGGGGGGGGGGGGGGAGAGAGGUUGAUGGCUUCGAAGGAUUGGCUGCUGCAUUUGCUGGUUUGAGCCUGCAGCUUUGAUUGAGGACAAGAUCGAUUUGAUGUCCAUAGGUAGAUGGUCUCUGAUUUGAUCACGAUGAGCUUGGAUCAAAGCUUUGUCCACCUAGGUGAGCGGCUCAUUGGAAUGAAGGAUCUGGAUGACCUAUUCAAGCUGUUCGUCCACUUGAUUUGGCUGGGAAAGAGAACAAAGAGUCAAGGUUUGGUUCAUGAUAACCAAUUCGGAAUAGAGAAAACAUAGCAAUACCUGGUUGACUGAAGAAGAGGAAGCCAUCUUGGUCGCGUGAAUUCAAUCUAGUUCGAAAACUCGCAGUGUGUGCGGUCUUGAAGGUGACCUCAAGGAAGGAGUAGGGGUCUGUAUUUAUAAGACGAAUAGACGUGUGAAAUGUGAACAAUGGUCGGUCAAAAGGGGCUUUAAAUGGGACUAGCCAUUGGCGAGUCAGAAAGAGCUGUGGAGAAACGGUCAAAUUACAUUCAAGAUGGAUAUUGAGCAUUGACAUCACGAGAGGAAUGUACCAAGUACCAGAAUACAUAAAAGCUAAUAACGUUCGUUACAAUUAUGCUAGAAGAGUUUGAAUGGCAUUUAUCGCACGCAGGCGAAUCUGAUUGGCAGCCUUUAUCUCCCUACGGUCGUCAUCGGCUGAGCCGGGUAUGUCAGUUAUGCUCCGAUGUAGCUGAAUAGCUUGAUGCGCAUGUGCUUGCUUUUCCUGCUCUAAUUGCUUGAGGACUUCUAGAAGUUGGGCGAGCUUGGUUUCUUCGACGAUGAUGGCAUCGCCGAUGCUUUUCAAUUCCUUCAUCAGUUUUUACCUCCUUGCUUUGAGCCAAUCAAUUUCACCAACAAUAUUGGGGCGAGAAUCCCUAAGAAAGCCGAUCUUGGGAUGGAUUUCAUCGGCCUAAAGCUUAUGGAAUUCCUUGUCCUUAUGCAAUUGUUCCUGUUUGGCGCGAUCGGCUGUGCGGCGUAGAGCCCUUAACAUCGGGACUUGGUGACUCCCUAUGUAGGCUGCGGGGAGGAUGGCUUCUUCUUUGUCUUCUAGGAUCUGGCCUUUGAGGUUGCGGAGGAUGUCGUGCAUCGGUUGUGCAUCUUUGACUAGUUGGCUGAUGCCUUGCUGAAGGAAGUCGAGUAUAUCUUGAAGUUUGGCCUUUAGGACAUCAGGAAUAGAUUCUGGAACCAGUGGGUGUGACAAAACUUCUUCUUCUUCGUGGAUUUCCCCUACCUGAAAUGAGAAGAGGCUGCUGUCUGGAGUGUCCUGAGCCUGCAAGGAUCAAUAAGGUAUAAGCUGAUGAAGCUAGUUGAUUGGAAUCAAUUAAUGUGCAAAAGAGUGUUCACCAUCUUCCAUUGGGUUUCUCUGGUUUGUGUUGGUGAUUCCACUAGGGACUCUUGUUGAACUGGUUCUGCGGAGGGUGGCAUGUUCUUGGAAGGUACAUUGACUGCUAGUGUUUCAAGAAUAGCGGCCGACACUUCUGGGAUAGUCUGUAUAGAAAACCGAACGAUUCUUAGCAACGGAGGUUGAGAAGGGUUGGAAUAGAGUAUGCAUUUUACCUCAAGUGUUGGAGUGAUGGCCGAUGCAGUCUCCUGUGUAUCUUUAGCCUGUGGAUCAGCCGAUGAAGGAGGCGGAGGCAUAGCCGAUUCUAGGAUGGGCUCUUCUGGUGCCGAUUGUGCGGAAGGCUAAAAGAAACAAGAGUCAGUACUAGCAAAGUAUCUAGAAAAAAUUAAAUAAGUGAGAUUACCUGCAUAGCCUCUAUCAAAAGUGAUGUAGCUACUGACGCUACUUCCGCUAGAACAGCCGUUUGGGGUGCCACCGCUGCCGUCGGAUCAGUCUCCUGGGCUGACGCUGCUGUCGGCAGGACGGAUGCCUAUGCUGAUUUGGAGCCUUUUUGAGGGUGCUUCUUACGGGUAGCCUUCUCAAGAAUAGAGACUUUGCGCUUUUGGCCUACGGCUAUGUCCAUUAAAGAUGGCGCAUCGUAGCCAAUGAGGGGGUCAGCCAAUGGAGGGACGUAAGCAAUUGGCUUGUUGCUCUAGCUAACUCUUGAAGGUGUAAAGUGAACACCCUGUAAAGGGCAAAAGUGUUAGUGGGAAGAAAAUAUCUGUAAUGAAAGGAGAUUCAGCGGAAUCAAUGGUGAUUACCCCUCCAUCAGGAUCAUUGAAGUCUAGGUCGAACUUCCUACAAUAAAUUCUUGUUGCCACAUAGAAAAGAUGAUUCUUCC